rnacentral:lncRNA from 1 species
ACACGAGGACUUUCCUGGAGGUCACCCAUCCUAGUACUACUCUCGCCCAAGCACGCUUAACUGCGAAGUUCUGAUGGGAUCUGGUGCAUUAGUGCUGGUAUGAUCGCAUCUGUUACUACAUGCAAUGCAAUCGUAUCUAUUCUUUUUUGAAGAUUUUAUGAUUCAUUUACCGUGGGUCCCACCAGCUAUGUAGGAAUAACCUAUCUUAUUUAUAAAAGCUUUGAUACAUGCAAAAUAUUUGAAAACAAUGUCCGAACAUAUAAUGUUCGCCCCAAAAUAUAGCAAAGACCACAAAAAUGCCAUAAAAAGUACAUUAAGGUCAAAAUUAGGAGUAGGAAAAAAAUCAAUAGGAGAAUUCCAUUUUCCUUCCUUCAUUCAUCGGAGAGCUCUCUUUGGGCAUUCCAAAAAGGUAUCACACGCCAAGUUUGGCCUCACGGUCUAAAAGUUAUAGAGUAUUACAUUUUUAACAAAAAAAAAAGAGAAAAACCGAAAAAAAGAGGGAUGCAACACGAAGACUUUUCUGGAGGUCAUCCAUCCUAGUACUACUCUCGCCCAAGCACAUUUAACUGCGGUGUUCUGAUAGGAUCAAGUGCAUUAGUGCUGGUAUGAUCGCAUCAGUUACUACAUGCAAUGCAAUCAUAUAUAUUCUUUUUUGAAGACUUUAUGAUCCAUUUGCCGUAGGUCCCACCAGCUAUGUAGGAAUACCCUAUCUUGUUUAUAAGAGCUUUGAUAGAUGCAAAAUAUUCAAAAACAAUGUCCGAACAUAUAAUUUUUGUCCCGUAAUAUAGCAAAGAUCACGAAAAGGCCAGAAAAAAUACAUUUCGGUCAAAAUUUGGAGUAGAAAAAAAACCCUUCCUCAUUCAUUGGACAGCUCUCUUUGGGCUUUCCGAAAAGGUAUCACAUGCCAAGUUUGGCCUCACGGUCUAAACCUUAUAGACUCAUACAUUUUUCACAAAAAAAAGAAGAGAAAAACCAAAAAAAAGAGUGAUUAAACACGAGGACUUUCCUGGAGGUCACCCAUCCUAGUACUACUCUCGCCCAAGCACGCUUAACUGCGAAGUUCUGAUGGGAUCUGGUGCAUUAGUGCUGGUAUGAUCGCAUCUGUUACUACAUGCAAUGCAAUCGUAUCUAUUCUUUUUUGAAGAUUUUAUGAUUCAUUUACCGUGGGUCCCACCAGCUAUGUAGGACUAACCUAUCUUAUUUAUAAGAUCUUUGAUACAUGCAAAAUAUUGGAAAACAAUGUCCGAACAUAUAAUGUUCGCCCCAAAAUAUAGCAAAGACCACAAAAAUGCCAUAAAAAAUACAUUAAGGUCAAAAUUUGGAGUAGGAAAAAAAUCAAUAGGAGAAUUCCAUUUUCCUUCCCUCAUUCAUCGGAGAGCUCUCUUUGGGCAUUCCAAAAAGGUAUCACAUGCCAAGUUUGGCCUCACGGUCUAAAAGUUAUAGAGUAUUACAUUUUUAACAAAAAAAANNNNNNNNNNNNNNNNNNNNNNNNNNNNNNNNNNNNNNNNNNNNNNNNNNAAAAAAAAGAGUGAUUAAACACGAGGACUUUCCUGGAGGUCACCCAUCCUAGUACUACUCUCGCCCAAGCACGCUUAACUGCGAAGUUCUGAUGGGAUCUGGUGCAUUAGUGCUGGUAUGAUCGCAUCUGUUACUACAUGCAAUGAAAUCGUAUCUAUUCUUUUUUGAAGAUUUUAUGAUUCAUUUACCGUGGGUCCCACCAGCUAUGUAGGAAUAACCUAUCUCGUUUAUAAGAGCUUUGAUACAUGCAAAAUAUUCGAAAACAAUGUCCGAACAUAUAAUGUUUGCCCCAAAAUAUAGAAAAGACCACGAAAAUGCCAUAAAAAGUACAUUAAGGUCAAAAUUUGGAGUAGGAAAAAAAAUCAAUAGGAGAAUUCCAUUUUCCUUCCUCAUUCAUCGGAGAGCUCUCUUUGGGCAUUCCAUAAAGGUAUCACAUGCCAAGUUUGGCCUCACGGUCUAAAAGUUAUAGAGUAAUACAUUUUUAACAAAAAAAAAAGAGAAAAACCGAAAAAAAGAGGGAUGCAACACGAAGACUUUUCUGGAGGUCACCCAUCCUAGUACUACUCUCCCACAAGCACGCUUAACUGUGGUGUUCUGAUAGGAUCAAGUGCAUUAGUGCUGGUAUGAUCGCAUCAGUUACUACAUGUAAUGCAAUCAUAUAUAUUCUUUUUUGAAGACUUUAUGAUCCAUUUGCCGUAGGUCCCACCAGUUAUGUAGGAAUACCCUAUCUCGUUUAUAAGAGCUUUGAUACAUGCAAAAUAUUCGAAAACAAUGUCCGAACAUAUAAUGUUUGCCCCAAAAUAUAGCAAAGACCACGAAAAUGCCAUAAAAAGUACAUUAAGGUCAAAAUUUGGAGUAGGAAAAAAAAUCAAUAGGAGAAUUCCAUUUUCCUUCCUCAUUCAUGGGAGAGCUCUCUUUGGGCAUUCCAAAAAGGUAUCACAUGCCAAGUUUGGCCUCACGGCCUAAAAGUUAUAGAGUAAUACAUUUUUAACAAAAAAAAAAGAGAAAAACCGAAAAAAAGAGGGAUGCAACACGAAGACUUUUCUGGAGGUCACCCAUCCUAGUACUACUCUCCCCCAAGCACGCUUAACUGUGGUGUUCUGAUAGGAUCAAGUGCAUUAGUGCUGGUAUGAUCGCAUCAGUUACUACAUGCAAUGCAAUCAUAUAUAUUCUUUUUUGAAGACUUUAUGAUCCAUUUGCCGUAGGUCCCACCAGCUAUGUAGGAAUACCCUAUCUUGUUUAUAAGAGCUUUGAUACAUGCAAAAUAUUCGAAAACAAUGUCCGAACAUAUAAUUUUUGUCCCGUAAUAUAGCAAAGAUCACGAAAAGGCCAGGAAAAAUACAUUUCGGUCAAAAUUUGGAGUAGAAAAAAAACCCUUCCUCAUUCAUUGGACAGCUCUCUUUGGGCUUUCCGAAAAGGUAUCACAUGCCAAGUUUGGCCUCACGGUCUAAACCUUAUAGACUCAUACAUUUUUCACAAAAAAAAGAAGAGAAAAACCAAAAAAAAGAGUGAUUAAACACGAGGACUUUCCUGGAGGUCACCCAUCCUAGUACUACUCUCGCCCAAGCACGCUUAACUGCGAAGUUCUGAUGGGAUCUGGUGCAUUAGUGCUGGUAUGAUCGCAUCUGUUACUACAUGCAAUGCAAUCGUAUCUAUUCUUUUUUGAAGAUUUUAUGAUUCAUUUACCGUGGGUCCCACCAGCUAUGUAGGACUAACCUAUCUUAUUUAUAAGAUCUUUGAUACAUGCAAAAUAUUGGAAAACAAUGUCCGAACAUAUAAUGUUCGCCCCAAAAUAUAGCAAAGACCACAAAAAUGCCAUAAAAAAUACAUUAAGGUCAAAAUUUGGAGUAGGAAAAAAAUCAAUAGGAGAAUUCCAUUUUCCUUCCCUCAUUCAUCGGAGAGCUCUCUUUGGGCAUUCCAAAAAGGUAUCACAUGCCAAGUUUGGCCUCACGGUCUAAAAGUUAUAGAGUAUUACAUUUUUAACAAAAAAAAACGAGAAAAACCGAUAAAAAGAGGGAUGCAACACCAAGACUUUUCUGGAGGUCACCCAUCCUAGUACUACUCUCCCCCAAGCACGCUUAACUGUGGUGUUCUGAUAGGAUCAAGUGCAUUAGUGCUGGUAUGAUCGCAUCAGUUACUACAUGCAAUGCAAUCAUAUAUAUUCUUUUUUGAAGACUUUAUGAUCCAUUUGCCGUAGGUCCCACCAGCUAUGUAGGAAUACCCUUUCUUGUUUAUAAGAGCUUUGAUACAUGCAAAAUAUUCGAAAACAAUGUCCGAACAUAUAAUUUUUGUCCCGUAAUAUAGCAAACAUCACGAAAAGGCCAGAAAAAAUACAUUUCGGUCAAAAUUUGGAGUAGAAAAAAAACCCUUCCUCAUUCAUUGGACAGCUCUCUUUGGGCUUUCCAAAAAGGUAUCACAUGCCAAGUUUGGCCUCACGGUCUAAACCUUAUAGACUCAUACAUUUUUCACAAAAAAAAGAAGAGAAAAACCAAAAAAAAGAGUGAUUAAACACGAGGACUUUCUUGGAGGUCACCCAUCCUAGUACUACUCUCGCCCAAGCACGCUUAACUGCGAAGUUCUGAUGGGAUCUGGUGCAUUAGUGCUGGUAUGAUCGCAUCUGUUACUACAUGCAAUGAAAUCGUAUCUAUUCUUUUUUGAAGAUUUUAUGAUUCAUUUACCGUGGGUCCCACCAGCUAUGUAGAAAUAACCUAUCUUAUUUAUAAGAGCUUUGAUACAUGUAAAAUAUUCGAAAACAAUGUCCGAACAUAUAAUGUUCGCCCCAAAAUAUAGCAAAGACCACAAAAAUGCCAUAAAAAGUACAUUAAGGUCAAAAUUUGGAGUAGGAAAAAAAUCAAUAAGAGAAUUCCAUUUUCCUUCCCUCAUUCAUCGGAGAUCUCUCUUUGGGCAUUCCAAAAAGGUAUCACAUGCCAAGUUUGGCCUCACGGUCUAAACGUUAUAGAGUAAUACAUUUUUAACAAAAAAAAAAGAGAAAAACCGAAAAAAAGAGGGAUGCAACACGAAGACUUUUCUGGAGGUCACCCAUCCUAGUACUACUCUCCCCCAAGCACGCUUAACUGUGGUGUUCUGAUAGGAUCAAGUGCAUUAGUGCUGGUAUGAUCGCAUCAGUUACUACAUGCAAUGCAAUCAUAUAUAUUCUUUUUUGAAGACUUUAUGAUCCAUUUGCCGUAGGUCCCACCAGCUAUGUAGGAAUACCCUUUCUUGUUUAUAAGAGCUUUGAUACAUGCAAAAUAUUCGAAAACAAUGUCCGAACAUAUUAUUUUUGUCCCGUAAUAUAGCAAAGAUCACGAAAAGGCCAGGAAAAAUACAUUUCGGUCAAAAUUUGGAGUAGAAAAAAAACCCUUCCUCAUUCAUUCGACAGCUCUCUUUGAGCUUUCCGAAAAGGUAUCACAUGCCAAGUUUGGCCUCACGGUCUAAACCUUAUAGACUCAUACAUUUUUCACAAAAAAAAAGAAGAGAAAAACCAAAAAAUAGAGUGAUUAAACGCGAGGACUUUCCUGGAGGUCACCCAUCCUAGUACUACUCUCGCCCAAGCACGCUUAACUGCGAAGUUCUGAUGGGAUCUGGUGCAUUAGUGCUGGUAUGAUCGCAUCUGUUACUACAUGCAAUGAAAUCGUAUCUAUUCUUUUUUGAUGAUUUUAUGAUUCAUUUACCGUGGGUCCCAGCAGCUAUGUAGGAAUAACCCAUCCUUGUUUAUAAGAGCUUUCAUACAUGCAAAAUAUUCAAAAACAAUGUCCGAACAUAUAAUUUUUGUCCGGUAAUAUUGCAAAGAUCACGAAAAGGCCAGAAAAAAUACAUUUCGGUCAAAAUUUGGAGUAGAAAAAAAACCCUUCCUCAUUCAUUGGACAGCUCUCUUUGGGUUUUCCGAAAAGGUAUCACAUGCCAAGUUUGGCCUCACGGUCUAAACCUUAUAGACUCAUACAUUUUUCACAAAAAAAAGAAGAGAAAAACCAAAAAAAAGAGUGAUUAAACACGAGGACUUUCCUGGAGGUCACCCAUCCUAGUACUACUCUCGCCCAAGCACGCUUAACUGCGAAGUUCUGAUGGGAUCUGGUGCAUUAGUGCUGGUAUGAUCGCAUCUGUUACUACAUGCAAUGCAAUCAUAUCUAUUCUUUUUUGAAGAUUUUAUGAUUCAUUUACCGUGGGUCCCACCAGCUAUGUAGGAAUAACCUAUCUUAUUUAUAAAAGCUUUGAUACAUGCAAAAUAUUCGAAAACAAUGUCCGAACAUAUAAUGUUCGCCCCAAAAUAUAGCAAAGACCACAAAAAUGCCAUAAAAAGUACAUUAAGGUCAAAAUUUGGAGUAGGAAAAAAAUCAAUAGGAGAAUUCCAUUUUCCUUCCCUCAUUCAUCGGAGAGCUCUCUUUGGGCAUUCCAAAAAGGUAUCACAUGCCAAGUUUGGCCUUACGGUCUAAAAGUUAUAGAGUAAUACAUUUUUAACAAAAAAAAAAGAAAAAAACCGAAAACAAAGAGGGAUGCAACACGAAGACUUUCCUGGAGGUCACCCAUCCUAGUACUACUCUCGCCCAAGCACACUUAACUGCGGUGUUCUGAUAGGAUCAAGUGCAUUAGUGCUGGUAUGAUCGCAUCAGUUACUACAUGCAAUGCAAUCAUAUAUAUUCUUUUUUGAAGACUUUAUGAUCCAUUUGCCGUAGGUCCCACCAGCUAUGUAGGAAUACCCUAUCUCGUUUAUAAGAGCUUUGAUACAUGCAAAAUAUUCGAAAACAAUGUCCGAACAUAUAAUUUUUGUCCCGUAAUAUAGCAAAGAUCACGAAAAGGCCAGAAAAAAUACAUUUCGGUCAAAAUUUGGAGUAGAAAAAAAACCCUUCCUCAUUCAUUGGACAGCUCUUUUUGGGCUUUCCGAAAAGGUAUCACAUGCCAAGUUUGGCCUCACGGUCUAAACCUUAUAGACUCAUACAUUUUUCACAAAAAAAAGAAGAGAAAAACCAAAAAAAAGAGUGAUUAAACACGAGGACUUUCCUGGAGGUCACCCAUCCUAGUACUACUCUCGCCCAAGCACGCUUAACUGCGAAGUUCUGAUGGGAUCUGGUGCAUUAGUGCUGGUAUGAUCGCAUCUGUUACUACAUGCAAUGCAAUCGUAUCUAUUCUUUUUUGAAGAUUUUAUGAUUCAUUUACCGUGGGUCCCACCAGNNNNNNNNNNNNNNNNNNNNNNNNNNNNNNNNNNNNNNNNNNNNNNNNNNUCACGGUUUAAAAGUUAUAGAGUCAUACAUUUUUCCCAAAAAAACCAAGAGAAAACCAAAAAAAAAGAGUGAUGAAACACGAGGACUUUCCUGGAGGUCACCCAUCCUAGUACUACUCUCGCCCAAGCACGCUUAACUGCGAAGUUCUGAUGGGAUCUGGUGCAUUAGUGCUGGUAUGAUCGCAUCAGUUACUACAUGCAAUGCAAUCGUAUAUAUUCUUUUUUGAAGACUUUAUGAUCCAUUUGUCGUAGGUCCCACCAGUUAUGUAGGAAUACCCUAUCUCGUUUAUAAGAGCUUUGAUACAUGCAAAAUAUUCGAAAACAAUGUCCGAACAUAUAAUGUUUGCCCCAAAAUAUAGCAAAGACCACGAAAAUGCCAUAAAAAGUACAUUAAGGUCAAAAUUUGGAGUAGGAAAAAAAUCAAUAGGAGAAUUCCAUUUUCCUUCCUCAUUCAUUGGAGAGCUCUCUUUGGGCAUUCCAAAAAGGUAUCACAUGGCAAGUUUGGCCUCACGGUCUAAAAGUUAUAGAGUAAUACAUUUUUAACAAAAAAAAAAGAGAAAAACCGAAAAAAAGAGGGAUGCAACACGAAGACUUUUCUGGAGGUCACCCAUCCUAGUACUACUCUCCCCCAAGCACGCUUAACUGUGGUGUUCUGAUAGGAUCAAGUGCAUUAGUGCUGGUAUGAUCGCAUCAGUUACUACAUGCAAUGCAAUCAUAUAUAUUCUUUUUUGAAGACGUUAUGAUCCAUUUGCCGUAGGUCCCACCAGCUAUGUAGGAACACCCUAUCUUGUUUAUAAGAGCUUUGAUACAUGCAAAAUAUUCGAAAACAAUGUCCGAACAUAUAAUUUUUGUCCCGUAAUAUAGCAAAGAUCACGAAAAGGCCAGAAAAAAUACAUUUCGGUCAAAAUUUGGAGUAGAAAAAAAACCCUUCCUCAUUCAUUGGACAGCUCUCUUUGGGCUUUCCGAAAAGGUAUCACAUGCCAAGUUUGGCCUCACGGUCUAAAAGUUAUAGAGUCAUACAUUUUUCACAAAAAAAACAAGAGAAAAACAAAAAAAAAGAGUGAUGAAACACGAGGACUUUCCUGGAGGUCACCCAUCCUAGUACUACUCUCGCCCAAGCACGCUUAACUGCGAAGUUCUGAUGGGAUCUGGUGCAUUAGUGCUGGUAUGAUCGCAUCUGUUACUACAUGCAAUGCAAUCGUAUAUAUUCUUUUUUGAAGACUUUAUGAUCCAUUUGUCGUAGGUCCCACCAGUUAUGUAGGAAUACCCUAUCUCGUUUAUAAGAGCUUUGAUACAUGCAAAAUAUUCGAAAACAAUGUCCGAACAUAUAAUGUUUGCCCCAAAAUAUAGCAAAGACCACGAAAAUGCCAUAAAAAGUACAUUAAGGUCAAAAUUUGGAGUAGGAAAAAAAAUCAAUAGGAGAAUUCCAUUUUCCUUCCUCAUUCAUUGGAGAGCUCUCUUUGGGCAUUCCAAAAAGGUAUCACAUGCCAAGUUUGGCCUCACGGUCUAAAAGUUAUAGAGUAAUACAUUUUUAACAAAAAAAAAAGAGAAAAACCGAAAAAAAGAGGGAUGCAACACGAAGACUUUUCUGGAGGUCACCCAUCCUAGUACUACUCUCCCCCAAGCACGCUUAACUGUGGUGUUCUGAUAGGAUCAAGUGCAUUAGUGCUGGUAUGAUCGCAUCAGUUACUACAUGCAAUGCAAUCAUAUAUAUUCUUUUUUGAAGACUUUAUGAUCCAUUGUCGUAGGUCCCACCAGCUAUGUAGGAAUACCCUUUCUUGUUUAUAAGAGCUUUGAUACAUGGAAAAUAUUCGAAAACAAUGUCCGAACAUAUAAUUUUUGUCCCGUAAUAUAGCAAAGAUCACGAAAAGGCCAGAAAAAAUACAUUUCGGUCAAAAUUUGGAGUAGAAAAAAAGCCCUUCCUCAUUCAUUGGACAGCUCUCUUUGGGCUUUCCGAAAAGGUAUCACAUGCCAAGUUUGGCCUCACGGUCUAAACCUUAUAGACUCAUACAUUUUUCACAAAAAAAAGAAGAGAAAAGCCAAAAAAAAAGAGUGAUUAAACACGAGGACUUUCCUGGAGGUCACCCAUCCUAGUACUACUCUCGCCCAAGCACGCUUAACUGCGAAGUUCUGAUGGGAUCUGGUGCAUUAGUGCUGGUAUGAUCGCAUCUGUUACUACAUGCAAUGAAAUCGUAUCUAUUCUUUUUUGAAGAUUUUAUGAUUCAUUUACCGUGGGUCCCACCAGCUAUGUAGGAAUAACCUAUCUUAUUUAUAAGAUCUUUGAUACAUGCAAAAUAUUGGAAAACAAUGUCCGAACAUAUAAUGUUCGCCCCAAAAUAUAGCAAAGACCACAAAAAUGCCAUAAAAAGUACAUUAAGGUCAAAAUUUGGAGUAGGAAAAAAACCAAUAAGAGAAUUCCAUUUUCCUUCCCUCAUUCAUCGGAGAUCUCUCUUUGGGCAUUCCAAAAAGGUAUCACAUGCCAAGUUUGGCCUCACGGUCUAAAAGUUAUAGAGUAAUACAUUUUUAACAAAAAAAAAAAGAGAAAAACCGAAAAAAAGAGGGAUGCAACACGAAGACUUUUCUGGAGGUCACCCAUCCUAGUACUACUCUCCCCCAAGCACGCUUAACUGUGGUGUUCUGAUAGGAUCAAGUGCAUUAGUGCUGGUAUGAUCGCAUCAGUUACUACAUGUAAUGCAAUCAUAUAUAUUCUUUUUUGAAGACUUUAUGAUCCAUGUGCCGUAGGUCCCACCAGCUAUGUAGGAAUACCCUAUCUCAUUUAUAAGAGCUUUGAUACAUGCAAAAUAUUCGAAAACAAUGUCCGAACAUAUAAUGUUUGCCCCAAAAUAUAGCAAAGACCACGAAAAUGCCAUAAAAAGUACAUUAAGGUCAAAAUUUGGAGUAGGAAAAAAAAUCAAUAGGAGAAUUCCAUUUUCCUUCCUCAUUCAUUGGAGAGCUCUCUUUGGGCAUUCCAAAAAGGUAUCACAUGGCAAGUUUGGCCUCACGGUCUAAAAGUUAUAGAGUAAUACAUUUUUAACAAAAAAAAAAGAGAAAAACCGAAAAAAAGAGGGAUGCAACACGAAGACUUUUCUGGAGGUCACCCAUCCUAGUACUACUCUCCCCCAAGCACGCUUAACUGUGGUGUUCUGAUAGGAUCAAGUGCAUUAGUGCUGGUAUGAUCGCAUCAGUUACUACAUGCAAUGCAAUCAUAUAUAUUCUUUUUUGAAGACGUUAUGAUCCAUUUGCCGUAGGUCCCACCAGCUAUGUAGGAACACCCUAUCUUGUUUAUAAGAGCUUUGAUACAUGCAAAAUAUUCGAAAACAAUGUCCGAACAUAUAAUUUUUGUCCCGUAAUAUAGCAAAGAUCACGAAAAGGCCAGAAAAAAUACAUUUCGGUCAAAAUUUGGAGUAGAAAAAAAACCCUUCCUCAUUCAUUGGACAGCUCUCUUUGGGCUUUCCGAAAAGGUAUCACAUGCCAAGUUUGGCCUCACGGUCUAAAAGUUAUAGAGUCAUACAUUUUUCACAAAAAAAACAAGAGAAAAACAAAAAAAAAGAGUGAUGAAACACGAGGACUUUCCUGGAGGUCACCCAUCCUAGUACUACUCUCGCCCAAGCACGCUUAACUGCGAAGUUCUGAUGGGAUCUGGUGCAUUAGUGCUGGUAUGAUCGCAUCUGUUACUACAUGCAAUGCAAUCGNNNNNNNNNNNNNNNNNNNNNNNNNNNNNNNNNNNNNNNNNNNNNNNNNNUAUGAUCGCAUGUGUUACUACAUGCAAUGUAAUCGUAUCUAUUCUUUUUUAAAGACUUUAUGAUCCAUUUGCCGUGAGUCCCACCAGCUAUGUAGGAAUAUUCUAUCUUCUUUAUAAGAGCUUUGAUACAUGCAAAAUACNUGGAAAACAAUGUCCGAACAUAUAAUUUUCCCCCCGUAAUAUAGCANAGAUCACGAAAAGGCCCGAAAAAGUACAUUUAGUUCANAAUUUGGAGUAGAAAAAAAAACAAUAGAAGAAUUCCAUUUUCCUUCCUCAAUCAUCGGAGAGCUCUCUUUGGGCUUUCCGAAAAGGUAUCUCAUGCCAAGUUUGGCCUCACGAACUAAAAGUUAUAGAGUCAUACAUUUUUAACAAAACAAAAUAGAGAAAAACCGAAAAAAGAGGGAUGCAACACAAGGACUUUCCGGGAGGUCACCCAUCCUAGUACUACUCUCGCCCAAGCACCCUUAACUGCGGAGUUCUGAUGGGAUCCGGUGCAUUAGUGCUGGUAUGAUCGCCCGUGUUACUACAUGCAAUGCAAUCGUAUCUAUUCUUUUUUAAAGAUUUUAUGAUCCAUUUGCCGUGGGUCCCACCAGCUAUGUAGGAAUACCCUAUCUUCUUUAUAAGAGGUUUGAUACAUACAAAAUAUUGGAUCACAAUGUCAGAACAUAUAAUUUUCCCCCCUUAAUAUAGCAAAGAUCACUAAAAGGCCCGAAAAAAUACAUUUAGUUCAAAAUUUGGAGUAGAAAAAAAAACAAUAGAAGAAUUCCAUUUUCCUUCCUCAGUUAUCGGAGAACUCUCUUUGGGCUUUCCGAAAAGGUAUCACAUGCCAAGUUUGGCCUCACGGUCUAAAAGAUAUAGAGUCAUACAUUAUUAACAAAACAAAAUAGAGAAAAACCGAAAAAAAGAAGGAUGCAACACGAGGACUUUGCGGGAGGUAAUCUAUCCUAGUACUACUCUCGCCCAAGCACCCUUAACUGCGGAGUUCUGAUGGGAUCCGGUGCAUUAGUGCUGGUAUGAUCGCAUGUGUUACUACAUGCAAUGUAAUCGUAUCUAUUCUUUUUUAAAGACUUUAUGAUCCAUUUGCCGUGGGUCCCACCAGCUAUGUAGGAAUACUCUAUCUACUUUAUAAGAGCUUUGAUACAUGCAGAAUAUUGGAAAACAACGUCCGAACAUAUAAUUUCCCCCCCCCCCCCCGUAAUAUAGCAAAAAUCACGAAAAGGCCCGAAAAAGUACAUUUAGUUCAAAAUUUGGAGUAGAAAAAAAAACAAUAGAAGAAUUUCAUUUUCCUUCCUCAGUCAUCGGAGAGCUCUCUUUGGGCUUUCCAAAAAGGUAUCACAUGCCAAGUUUGGCCUCACAGUCUAAAAGUUAUAGAGUCAUACAUUUUUAACAAAACAAAAUAGAGAAAAACCGAAAAAAAGAGGGAUGCAACACGAGGACUUUCCGGGAGGUAAUCUAUCCUAGUACUACUCUCGCCCAAGCACCCUUAACUGCGGAGUUCUGAUGGGAUCCGGUGCAGUAGUGCUGGUAUGAUUGCAUGUGUUACUACAUGCAAUGUAAUCGUAUCUAUUCUUUUUUAAAGACUUUAUGAUCCAUUUGCCGUGAGUCCCACCAGCUAUGUAGGAAUAUUCUAUCUUCUUUAUAAGAGCUUUGAUACAUGCAAAAUACUGGAAAACAGUGUCCGAACAUAUAAUUUUCCCCCCGUAAUAUAGCAAAGAUCACGAAAAGGCCCGAAAAAGUACAUUUAGUUCAAAAUUUGGAGUAGAAAAAAAAACAAUAGAAGAAUUCCAUUUUCCUUCCUCAAUCAUCGGAGAGCUCUCUUUGGGCUUUCCGAAAAGGUAUCUCAUGCCAAGUUUGGCCUCACGAACUAAAAGUUAUAGAGUCAUACAUUUUUAACAAAACAAAAUAGAGAAAAACCGAAAAAAGAGGGAUGCAACACAAGGACUUUCCAGGAGGUCACCCAUCCUAGUACUACUCUCGCCCAAGCACCCUUAACUGCGGAGUUCUGAUGGGAUCCGGUGCAUUAGUGCUGGUAUGAUCGCAUGUGUUACUACAUGCAAUGUAAUCGUAUCUAUUCUUUUUUAAAGAUUUUAUGAUCCAUUUGCCGUGGGUCCCACCAGCUAUGUAGGAAUACCCUAUCUUCUUUAUAAGAGCUUUGAUACAUACAAAAUAUUGGAUCACAAUGUCAGAACAUAUAAUUUUCCCCCCUUAAUAUAGCAAAGAUCACUAAAAGGCCCGAAAAAAUACAUUUAGUUCAAAAUUUGGAGUAGAAAAAAAAACAAUAAAAGAAUUCCAUUUUCCUUCCUCAGUUAUCGGAGAACUCUCUUUGGGCUUUCCGAAAAGGUAUCACAUGCCAAGUUUGGCCUCACGGUCUAAAAGAUAUAGAGUCAUACAUUAUUAACAAAACAAAAUAGAGAAAAACCGAAAAAAAUAGGGAUGCAACACGAGGACUAUCCUGGAGGUCACCCAUCCUAGUACUAAUCUCGCCCAACCACCCUUAACUGCGUAGUUCUGAUGGGAUCCGAUGCAUUAGUGCUGGUAUGAUCGCAUUUGUUACUAUAUGCAAUAUAAUCGUAUCUAUUCUUUUUUAAAGACUUUAUGAUCCAUUUGCCGUGGGUCCCACCAGCUAUGUAGGAUACCCUAUCUUCAUAAUAAGAGCUUUGAUAAAUGCAAAAUAUUGGAAAACAAUGUCCGAACAUAUAAUUUCCCCCCCCCCCCCCGGUAAUAUAGCAAAGAUCACGAAAUAGCCCAAAAAAGUACAUUUAGGUCAAAAUUUGAGUAGAAAAAAAACAAAUAGAGGAAUUCCAUUUUCCGUCCUCAUUCAUCGGAGAGCUCUCUUUCGGCUUUCCGAAAAGGUAUCACAUGCCAAGUUUGGCCUCACGGUCUAAAAGUUAUAGAGUCAUACAUUUUAAACAAAACAAAAUAGAGAAAAACCGAAAAAAAGAAGGAUGCAACACGAGGACUUUCCGGGAGGUCACCCAUCCUAGUACUACUCUCGCCCAAGCACCCUUAACUGCGGAGUUCUGAUGGGAUCAGGUGCAUUAGUGCUGGUAUGAUCGCAUGUGGUACUACAUGCAAUGUAAUCGUAUAUAUUCUUUUUUAAAGACUUUAUGAUCCAUUUGCCGUGGGUCCCACCAGCUAUGUAGGAAUACCCUAUCUUCUUUAUAAGAGCUUUGAUACAUGCAAAAUAUUUGAAAACAAUGUCCGAACAUAUAAUUUUCCCCCCGUUAUAUAGCAAAGAUCACGAAAAGGCCCGAAAAAGUACAUUUAGUUCAAAAUUUGGAGUAGAAAAAAAGACAAUAGAAGAAUUUCAUUUUCCUUCCUCAGUAAUCGGAGAGCUCUCUUUGGGCUUUCCGAAAAGGUAUCACAUGCCAAGUUUGGCUUCACGGUAUAAAAGUUAUAGAGUCAUACAUUUUUAACAAAAAAAAACUAGAAAAACAGAAAAAAAGAGGGAUGCAAUACGAGGACUUUCCAGGAGGUCACCCAUCCUAGUACAACUCUCGCCGAAGCACGCUUAACUGCGGUGUUCAGAUGGGAUCUGGUGCAUUAGUGCUGGUAUGAUGGCAUUUGUUACUACAUGCAAUGCAAUCGUAUCUAUUCUUUUGUAAAGACUUUAUGAUCCAUUUGCCGUGGGUUCCACCAGCUAUGUAGGAAUACCCUAUCUUGUUUAUAAGAGAUUUGAUACAUGCAAAAUAUUCGAACACAAUGUCCGAACAUAUAAUUUUUGCCCCGUAAUAUAGCAAAGAUCACGAAAAGGCCCGAAAAAGUACAUUAAGGUCAAAAUUUGGAGUAGAAAAAAAACACAAUAGAAGUAUUCCAUUGUCCUUCGUCAUUCAUCGAAGAGCUCUCUUUGGGCUUUUCGAAAUGAUAUCAUAUGCCAAGUUUGGCCUCACGGUCUAAAAUUUAUAGAGUCAUACAUUUUUAACAAAACAAAAAGAGAAAAACCGAAAAAAAGAGGGAUGCAACACGAGGACUUUCCUGGAGGUCACCCAUCCUAGUACUACUCUCGCCCAAGCACCCUUAACUGCGUAGUUCUGAUGGGAUCCGAUGCAUUAGUGCUGGUAUGAUCGAAUCUGUUACUACAUGUAAUGCAAUCAUAUAUAUUCUUUUUUGAAGACUUUAUGAUCCAUUUGCCGUAGGUCCCACCAGCUAUGUAGGAAUACCCUAUCUCGUUUAUAAGAGCUUUGAUACAUGCAAAAUAUUCGAAAACAAUGUCCGAACAUAUAAUGUUUGCCCCAAAAUAUAGCAAAGACCACGAAAAUGCCAUAAAAAGUACAUUAAGGUCAAAAUUUGGAGUAGGAAAAAAAAUCAAUAGGAGAAUUCCAUUUUCCUUCCUCAUUCAUCGGAGAGCUCUCUUUGGGCAUUCCAAAAAGGUAUGACAUGCCAAGUUUGGCCUCACGGUCUAAAAGUUAUAGAGUAAUACAUUUUUAACAAAAAAAAAAGAGAANAAACCGAAAAAAAGAGGGAUGCAACACGAAGACUUUUCUGGAGGUCAUCCAUCCUAGUACUACUCUCCCCCAAGCACGCUUAACUGUGGUGUUCUGAUAGGAUCAAGUGCAUUAGUGCUGGUAUGAUCGCAUCAGUUACUACAUGCAAUGCAAUCAUAUAUAUNNNNNNNNNNNNNNNNNNNNNNNNNNNNNNNNNNNNNNNNNNNNNNNNNNAAAGUCAAAAUUUGGAGUAGAAAAAAACCCAAUAGAAGUAUUCCAUUCUCCUUCGUCAUUCAUCGGAGAGCUCUCUUUAGGCUUUCCGAAAAGAUAUCACAUGCCAAGUUUGGCCUCACGGUUUAAAAGUUAUAGAGUCAUAGAUUUUUAACAAAACAAAAAGAGAAAAACCGAAAAAAAUUGGGAUGCAACACGAGGACUUUCCUGGAGGUCACCCAUCCUAGUACUACUCUCGCCCAAGCACCCUUAACUGCGUAGUUCUGAUGGGAUCCGAUGCUNUAGUGCUGGUAUGAUCGCAUCUGUUACUACAUGCAAUGUAAUCGUAUCUAUUCUUUNUUAAAGACUUUAUGAUCCAUUUGCCGUGGGUCCCACCAGCUAUGUAGGAAUACCCUAUCUUCUNUAUAAGAGCNUUUGAUAAAUGCANAAUAUUGGAAACCAAUGUCCGAACAUAUAAUUUCGCCCCCGUAAUAUAGCANAGAUCACGAAAAAGCCCAAAAAAGUUCAUUUAGGUCAAAAUUUGAGCAGAAGAAAAAGAAAUAGAAGAAUUCCAUUUUCCUUCCUCAUUUAUUGGAGAGCUCUCUUUGGGCUUUCCGAAAAGGUAUCACAUGCCAAGUUUGGCCUCACGGUCUAAAAGUUAUAGAGUCAUACAUUUUUAACAAAAUGAAAUAGAGAAAAACCGAAAAAAAGAGGGAUGUAACACGAGGACUUUCCGGGAGGUAAUCUAUCCUACUACUACUCUCGGCCAAGCACCCUUAACUGCGGAGUUCUAAUGGGAUCCGGUGCAUUAGUGCUGGUAUGAUCGCAUGUGUUACUACAUGCAAUGUAAUCGUAUCUAUUCUUUUUUAAAGACUUUAUGAUCCAUUUGCCGUGGGUCCCACCAGCUAUGUAGGAAUACCCUAUCUUCUUUAUAAGAGCUUUGAUACAUGCAAAAUAUAUGAAAAAAACGUCCGAACAUAUAAUUUUCCCCCCGUAAUAUAGCAAAGAUCAUGAAAAGGCCCAAAAAAGUACAUUAAUGUCAAAAUUUGGCGUAGAAAAAAAACCAAUAGACAUAUUCCAUUGUCCUUCGUCAUUCAUUGAAGAGCUCUCUUUGGGCUUUCCGAAAAGGUAUCACAUGCCAAGUUUGGCCUCACGGUCUAAAAGUUAUAGAGUCAUACAUUUUUAACAAUACAAAAUAGAGAAAAACCGAAAAAAAGAGGGAUGCAACACGAGGACUUUCCGGGAGGUAAUCCAUCCUAGUACUACUCUCGCCCAAGCACCCUUAACUGCGGAGUUCUGAUGGGACCCGGUGCAUUAGUGCUGGUAUGAUCGCAUCUGUUACUAUAUGCAAUGUAAUCGUAUCUAUUCUUUUUUAAAGACUUUAUGAUCCAUUUGCCGUGGGUCCCACCAGCUAUGUAGGAAUACCCUAUCUUCUUUAUAAGAGCUUUGAUAUAUGCAAAAUAUUGGAACACCAUGUCCGAACAUAUAAUUUUUCCCGUGUAAUAUAGCAAAGAUCAAGAAAAAGAAAAAAAAGUACAUUUAGGUCAAAAUUUGAGUAGAAAAAAACAAAUAGAAGAAUUCCAUUUUCCUUCCUCAUUCAGCUGAGAGCUCUCUUUGGGCUUUCCGAAAAGGUAUCAUAUGCCAAGUUUGGCCUCACAGUGUAAAAGUUAUAGAGUCUAACAUUUUUAACAAAACAAAAUAGAGAAAAACCAAAAAAAGAGGGAUGCAACACGAGGACUUUCUGGGAGGUCACCCAUCCUAGUACUACUCUCGCCCAAGCACCCUUAACUGCGGAGUUCUGAUGGGAUCCGGUGCAUUAGUGCUGGUAUGAUCGCAUGUGUUACUACAUGCAAUGUAAUCCUAUCUAUUCUUUCUUAAAGACUUUAUGAUCCAUUUGCCGUGAGUCCCACCAGCUAUGUAGGAAUACCCUAUCUUCUUUAUAAGAGCUUUGAUACAUGCAAAAUAUUGGAAAACAAUGUCCGAACAUAUAGUUUUCCCCCGUAAUAUAGCAAAGAUCACGAAAAGGCCCGAAAAAGUACAUUUAGUUCAAAAUUGGGAGUAGAAAAAAAAAACAAUAGAAGAAUUCCAUUUUACUUCCUCAGUCAUCGGAGAGCUCUCUUUGGGCUUUCCGAAAAGGUAUCACAUGCCCAGUUUGGCCUCACGGUCUAAAAGUUAUAAAGUCAUACAUUUUUAACAAAAAAAAAAGAGAAAAACCGAAAAAAAGAGGGAUGCAAUACGAGGACUUUCCACGAGGUCACCCAUCCUAGUACAACUCUCGCCAAAGCAUGCUUAACUGCGGAGUUUAGAUGGGAUCUGGUGCAUUAGUGCUGGUAUGAUCGCAUCUGUUACUACAUGCAAUGCAAUCGUAUCUAUUCUUAUUUAAAGACUUUAUCAUCCAUUUGCCAUGGGUCCCACCUGUAGGAAUACCCAAUCUUGUUUAUAAGAGCUUUGAUACAUGCAAAAUAUUCGAAAACAACGUCCGAACAUAUAAUUUUCGCCCCGUAAUAUAGCAAAGAUCACGAAAAGGCCCGAAAAAGUACAUUAAGGUCAAAAUUUGGAAUAGAAAAAAAAACCAAAAGAAGUAUUCCAUUGUCCUUUGUCAUUCAUCGAAGAGCUCUCUUUGGGCUUUCCGAAAAGGUAUCGCAAGCCAAGUUUGGCCUCACGGUUUAAAAGUUAUAAAGUCAUACAUUUUUAACAAAAAAAAAAAGAGAAAAAACCGAAAAAAAGAGGGAUGCAACACGAGGACUUUUCUGGAGGUCACCCAUCCUAGUACUACUCUCGCCCGAUCACCCUUAACUGCGUAGUUUUGAUGGGAUUCGAUGCAUUAGUGCUGGUAUGAUCGCAUCUGUUACUACAUGCAAUGUAAUCGUAUCUAUUCUUUUUUAAAGACUUUAUGAUCCAUUUGCCGUGGGUCCCACCAGCUAUGUAGGAAUACCCUAUCUUCUUUAUAAGAGCUUUGAUAUAUGCAAAAUAGUGGAAAACCAUGUCCGAACAUAUAAUUUUUCCCCUGUAAUAUAGCAAAGAUCAAGAAAAAGCCAAAAAAAGUAUAUUUAGGUCAAAAUUUGGAGUAGAAAAAAAAACAAUAGAAGAAUUCCAUUUUCCUUCCUCAGUCAUCGGAGAGCUCUCUUUCGGCUUUCCGAAAAGGUAUCAAAUGCCAAGUUUGGCCUCACGGUCUAAAAGUUAUAGAGUCAUACAUUUUUAACAAUACAAAGUAGAGAAAACCGGAAAAAAGAGGGAUGCAACAUGAGGACUUUCCGGGAGGUAAUCCAUCCUAGUACAACUCUUGCCCAAGCACCCUUAACUGCGGAGUUCUGAUGGAAUCCGGUGCAUUAGUGCUGGUAUGAUCGCAUGUGUUACUACAUGNNNNNNNNNNNNNNNNNNNNNNNNNNNNNNNNNNNNNNNNNNNNNNNNNNCCAAAAAGGUAUCACAUGCCAAGUUUGGCCUCNCGGUCUAAAAGUUAUAGAGUCAUACAUUUUUAACAAACCAAAAUAGAGAAAACCGGAAAAAAGAGGGAUGCAACACGAGGACUUUCCGGGAGGUCACCCAUCCUAGUACUACUUUCGCCCAAGCACCCUUAACUGCGGAGUUCUGAUGGGAUCCGGUGCAUUAGUGCUGGUAUGAUCGCAUGUGUUACUACAUGCAAUGUAAUCAUAUUUCUUGUUAUUUAAAGAUUUUAUGAUCCAUUUGCCGUGGGUCCCACCAUCUAUGUAGGAAUACCUUAUCUUCUUUAUAGGAGCUUUGAUACAUGCAAAAUAUUGGAAAACAAUAUCCGAACAUAUAUCUUUCCCCCCGUAAUAUAGCAAAGAUCGCGAAAAGGCCCGAAAAAGUACAUUUAGGUCAAAAUUUGGAGAGGAAAAAAAAAGCAAUAGAAGAAUUCCAUUUUCCUUCCUCAGUCAUCGGAGAGCUCUCUUUGGGCUUUCCGAAAAGGUAUCACAUGCCAAGUUUGGCCUCAUGGUCUAAAAGUUAUAGAGCCAUACAUUUUUAACAAAACAAAAUAGAGAAAAACCAAAAAAAGAGAGGGAUGCAACACGAGGACUUUCCGGGAGGUCACCCAUCCUAGUACUACUCUCGCCCAAGCACCCUUAACUGCGGAGUUCUGAUGGGAUCCAGUGCAUUAGUGCUGGUAUGAUCGCAUGUGUUACUACAUGCAAUGUAAUCGUAUCUAUUCUUUUUUAAAGAUUAUAUGAUCCAUUUGCCGUGGGUCCCACCAGCUAUGUAGGAAUACCCUAUCUUCUUUAUAAGAGCUUUGAUACAUGCAAAAUAUUGGAAAACAAUGUCCGAACAUAUAAUUUUCCCCCCGUAAUAUAGCAAAGAUCACGAAAAGGCCCAAAAAAGUACAUUUAGGUCAAAAUUUGGAGUUGAAAAAAAACAAAAAGAAGAAUUCCAUUUUCCUUCCUCAUUCAUUGGAGAGCUCUCUUUGGGCUUUCCGAAAAGGUAUCACAUGCCAUGUUUAGCCUCACGGUCUAAAAGUUAUAGAGUCAUACAUUUUUAACAAAACAAAAUAGAGAAAAACCAAAAAAACGAGGGAUGCAACACGAGGACUUUCUGGGAAGUCACCCAUCCUAGUACUACUCUCGCCCAAGCACCCUUAACUGCGGAGUUCUGAUGGGAUCCGGUGCAUUAGUGCUGGUAUGAUCGCAUGUGUUACUACAUGCAAUGUAAUCGUAUCUAUUGCUUUUAAAGACUUUAUGAUCCAUUUGCCGUGGGUCCCACCAGCUAUGUAGGAAUACCCUAUCUUCUUUAUAAGAGUUUUCAUACAUGCAAAAUAUUGGAAAACAAUGUCCGAACAUAUAAUUUUCCCCCCGUAAUAUAGCAAAGAUCACGAAAAGGCCCAAAAAAGUACAUUUAGUUCAAAAUUUGGAGUAGAAAAAAAAAUAAUAGAAAAUUUCCAAUUUCCUUCUUCAUUCAUCGGAGAGCUCUCUUUGGGCUUUCCGAAAAGGUAUCACAUGCCAAGUUUGGCCUCACGGUCUAAAAGUUAUAAAGUCAUACAUUUUUAACAAAACAAAAUAGAGAAAAACGGAAAAAGAGGGAUGCAACACGUGGACUUUCCGGGAGGUCACCCAUCCUAGUACUACUCUCGUCCAAGGACCCUUAACUGCGGAGUUCUGUUGGGAUCCGUUGCAUUAGUGCUGGUAUGAUCGCAUGUGUUACUACAUGCAAUGUAAUCGUAUCUAUUCUUUUUUAAAGACUUUAUGAUCCAUUUGCCGUGGGUCCCACCAACUAUGUAGGAAUACCCUAUCUUCUUUAUAAGAGCUUUGAUACAUGCAAAAUAUUGGAAAACAAUGUCCGAACACAUAAUUUUUCCCCCAUAAUAUAACAAAGAUCACGAAAAGGCCCGAAAUAGUACAUUUAGUUCAAAAUUUGGAGUAGAAAAAAAACCAGUUUAAGAAUUCCAUUUUCCUUCCUCAUUCAUCGGAGAGCUCUCUUUGGACUUUCCGAAAAGGUAUCACAUGCCAAGUUUGGCCUCACGGUCUAAAAGUUAUAGAGUCAUACAUUUUUAACAAAACAAAAUAGAGAAAAACAGAAAAAAGAGGGAUGCAACACGAGGACUUUCCGGGAGGUCACCCAUCCUAGUACUACUCUCGCCCAAGCACCCUUAACUGCAGAGUUCUGCUGGGAUCCGGUGCAUUAGUGCUGGUAUGAUCGCAUCUGUUACUACAUGCAAUGUAAUCGUAUCUAUUCUUUUUUAAAGCUUUUAUGAUCCAUUUGCCGUGGGUCCCACCAGCUAUGUAGGAAUACCCUAUCUUCUUUAUAAGAGCUUUGAUACAUGCAAAAUAUUGGAAAACAAUGUCCGAACAUAUAAUUUCCCCCCUCGUAAUAUAGCAAAGAUCACAAAAAGGCUCGAAAAAGUACAUUUAGUUCAAAAUUUGGAGUAGAAAAAAACCAACAGAAAAAUUCCAAUUUCCUCCCUCAUUCAUCGGAGAGCUCUCUUUGGGCUUUCCAAAAAGGUAUCACAUGCCAAGUUUGGCCUCACGGUCUAAAAGUUAUAGAGUCAUACAUUUUUAACAAAACAAAAUAGAGAAAAACGGAAAAAAGAGGGAUGCAACACGAGGACUUUCCGGGAGGUCACCCAUCCUAGUACUACUCUCGUCCAAGGACCCUUAACUGCGAAGUUCUGAUGGGAUCCGUUGCAUUAGUGCUGGUAUGAUCGCAUGUGUUACUACAUGCAAUGUAAUCGUAUCUAUUCUUUUUUAAAGACUUUAUGAUCCAUUUGCCGUGGGUCCCACCAGCUAUAUAGGAAAACCCAAUCUUCUUUAUAAGAGCUUUGAUACAUGCAAAAUAUUGGAAAACAAUGUCCGAACAUAUAAUUUUCCCCCAUAAUAUAGCAAAGAUCACGAAAAGGCCCGAAAAAGUACAUUUAGUUCAAAAUUUGGAGUAGAAAAAAAGACAGUAAAAGAAUUCCAUUUUCCUUCCUCAGUGAUCGGAGAGCUCUCUUUGGACUUUCCGAAAAGGUAUCACAUGCCAAGUUUGGCCUCACGGUCUAAAAGUUAUAGAGUCAUACAUUUUUAACAAAACAAAAUAGAGAAAAACGGAAAAAAGAGGGAUGCAACACGAGGACUUUCCGGGAGGUCACCCAUCCUAGUACUACUUUCGCCCAAGCACCCUUAACUGCGGAGUUCUGAUGGGAUCCGGUGCAUUAGUGCUGGUAUGAUCGCAUGUGUUACUACAUGCAAUGUAAUCAUAUUUCUUGUUAUUUAAAGAUUUUAUGAUCCAUUUGCCGUGGGUCCCACCAUCUAUGUAGGAAUACCUUAUCUUCUUUAUAGGAGCUUUGAUACAUGCAAAAUAUUGGAAAACAAUAUCCGAACAUAUAUCUUUCCCCCCGUAAUAUAGCAAAGAUCGCGAAAAGGCCCGAAAAAGUACAUUUAGGUCAAAAUUUGGAGAAGAAAAAAAAAGCAAUAGAAGAAUUCCAUUUUCCUUCCUCAGUCAUCGGAGAGCUCUCUUUGGGCUUUCCGAAAAGGUAUCACAUGCCAAGUUUGGCCUCAUGGUCUAAAAGUUAUAGAGCCAUACAUUUUUAACAAAACAAAAUAGAGAAAAACCAAAAAAAGAGAGGGAUGCAACACGAGGACUUUCCGGGAGGUCACCCAUCCUAGUACUACUCUCGCCCAAGCACCCUUAACUGCGGAGUUCUGAUGGGAUCCAGUGCAUUAGUGCUGGUAUGAUCGCAUGUGUUACUACAUGCAAUGUAAUCGUAUCUAUUCUUUUUUAAAGAUUAUAUGAUCCAUUUGCCGUGGGUCCCACCAGCUAUGUAUGAAUACCCUAUCUUCUUUAUAAGAGCUUUGAUACAUGCAAAAUAUUGGAAAACAAUGUCCGAACAUAUAAUUUUCCCCCCGUAAUAUAGCAAAGAUCACGAAAAGGCCCAAAAAAGUACAUUUAGGUCAAAAUUUGGAGUUGAAAAAAAACAAAAAGAAGAAUUCCAUUUUCCUUCCUCAUUCAUUGGAGAGCUCUCUUUGGGCUUUCCGAAAAGGUAUCACAUGCCAUGUUUAGCCUCACGGUCUAAAAGUUAUAGAGUCAUACAUUUUUAACAAAACAAAAUAGAGAAAAACCAAAAAAACGAGGGAUGCAACACGAGGACUUUCUGGGAAGUCACCUAUCCUAGUACUACUCUCGCCCAAGCACCCUUAACUGCGGAGUUCUGAUGGGAUCCGGUGCAUUAGUGCUGGUAUGAUCGCAUGUGUUACUACAUGCAAUGUAAUCGUAUCUAUUGCUUUUAAAGACUUUAUGAUCCAUUUGCCGUGGGUCCCACCAGCUAUGUAGGAAUACCCUAUCUUCUUUAUAAGAGUUUUCAUACAUGCAAAAUAUUGGAAAACAAUGUCCGAACAUAUAAUUUUCCCCCCGUAUAUAGCAAAGAUCACGAAAAGGCCCAAAAAAGUCCUUUAAGGUCAAAAUUUGAAGUUGAAAAAAAACAAAAAGAAAAAUUCCAUUUUCCUUCCUCAUUCAUUGAAAAGCUCUCUUUGGGCUUUCCGAAAAGGUAUCACAUGCCAUGUUUAGCCUCACGGUCUAAAAGUUAUAGAGUCAUACAUUUUUAACAAAACAAAAUAGAGAAAAACCAAAAAAACGAGGGAUGCAACACGAGGACUUUCUGGGAAGUCACCUAUCCUAGUACUACUCUCGCCCAAGCACCCUUAACUGCGGAGUUCUGAUGGGAUCCGGUGCAUUAGUGCUGGUAUGAUCGCAUGUGUUACUACAUGCAAUGUAAUCGUAUCUAUUGCUUUUAAAGACUUUAUGAUCCAUUUGCCGUGGGUCCCACCAGCUAUGUAGGAAUACCCUAUCUUCUUUAUAAGAGUUUUCAUACAUGCAAAAUAUUGGAAAACAAUGUCCGAACAUAUAAUUUUCCCCCCGUAAUAUAGCAAAGAUCACGAAAAGGCCCAAAAAAGUACAUUUAGUUCAAAAUUUGGAGUAGAAAAAAAAACAAUAGAAAAUUUCCAAUUUCCUUCUUCAUUCAUCGGAGAGCUCUCUUUGGGCUUUCCGAAAAGGUAUCACAUGCCAAGUUUGGCCUCACGGUCUAAAAGUUAUAAAGUCAUACAUUUUUAACAAAACAAAAUAGAGAAAAACGGAAAAAGAGGGAUGCAACACGUGGACUUUCCGGGAGGUCACCCAUCCUAGUACUACUCUCGUCCAAGGACCCUUAACUGCGGAGUUCUGUUGGGAUCCGUUGCAUUAGUGCUGGUAUGAUCGCAUGUGUUACUACAUGCAAUGUAAUCGUAUCUAUUCUUUUUUAAAGACUUUAUGAUCCAUUUGCCGUGGGUCCCACCAACUAUGUAGGAAUACCCUAUCUUCUUUAUAAGAGCUUUGAUACAUGCAAAAUAUUGGAAAACAAUGUCCGAACAUAUAAUUUUUCCCCCAUAAUAUAACAAAGAUCACGAAAAGGCCCGAAAAAGUACAUUUAGUUCAAAAUUUGGAGUAGAAAAAAACCAGUUUAAGAAUUCCAUUUUCCUUCCUCAUUCAUCGGAGAGCUCUCUUUGGACUUUCCGAAAAGGUAUCACAUGCCAAGUUUGGCCUCACGGUCUAAAAGUUAUAGAGUCAUACAUUUUUAACAAAACAAAAUAGAGAAAAACAGAAAAAAGAGGGAUGCAACACGAGGACUUUCCGGGAGGUCACCCAUCCUAGUACUACUCUCGCCCAAGCACCCUUAACUACAGAGUUCUGCUGGGAUCCGGUGCAUUAGUGCUGGUAUGAUCGCAUCUGUUACUACAUGCAAUGUAAUCGUAUCUAUUCUUUUUUAAAGCUUUUAUGAUCCAUUUGCCGUGGGUCCCACCAGCUAUGUAGGAAUACCCUAUCUUCUUUAUAAGAGCUUUGAUACAUGCAAAAUAUUGGAAAACAAUGUCCGAACAUAUAAUUUCCCCCCUCGUAAUAUAGCAAAGAUCACAAAAAGGCUCGAAAAAGUACAUUUAGGUCAAAAUUUGGAGUAGAAAAAAAAACAAUAGAAGAAUUCCAUUUUCCUUCCUCAGUCAUUGGAGAGAUCUCUUUGGGCUUUGCGAAAAGGUAUCACAUGCCAAGUUUGGCCUCACGGUCUAAAAGUUAUAAAGUCAUACGUUUUUAGCAAAAAAAAAAGAGAAAAACCGAAAAAAAGAGGGAUGCAACACGAGGUCACCCAUUCUAGUACUACUCUCGCCCAAGCACCCUUAACUGCGUAGUUCUGAUGGGAUCUGAGGCAUUAGUGCUUGUAUGAUCGCAUCUGUUACUACAUGCAAUGUAAUCGUAAAUAUUCUUUUUUAAAGACUUUAUUAUCCAUUUGCCGUGGGUCCAACCAGCUAUGUAGGGAUACCCUAUCUUCUUUAUAAGAGCUUUGACACAUGCAAAAUAUUGGAAAAGAAUGUCCGAACAUAUUCUUUUCCCCCCGUAAUAUAGCAAAGAUCACGAAAAGGCCCGAAAAUGUAUAUUAAGUUCAAAAUUUGGAGUAGAAAAAAAAAACAAUAGAUGAAUUCCAUUUUCCUUCCUCAUUCAUUGGAGAGCUCUCUUUGGGCUUUCCGAAAAGGUAUGACAUUUCAAGUUUGGCCUCAUGGUCUCAAAGUUAUAAAGUCAUACAUUUUUCACAAAAAAAAAAAAAAGAAAAACCAAAAAAAAAAAGAGGGAUGUAACACGAGGACUUUUUUGGGAGGUCACCCAUCCUAGUACUACUCUCGCCCAAGCACGCUUAACUGCGGAGUUCUGAUGGGAUCCAGUUCAUUAGUGCUGGUAUGAUCGCAUGUGUUACUAUAUGCAAUGUAAUCGUAUCUAUUCUUUUUUAAUGACUUUAUGAUCCAUUUGCUGUGAGUCCCACCAGCUAUGUAGGAAUACCCUAUCUUCUCUAUAAGAGCUUUGAUACAUGCAAAAUAUUGGAAAACAAUGUCCGAACAUAUAGUUUUCCCCCCGUAAUAUAGCAAAGAUCACGAAAAGGCCCGAAAAGGUACAUUUAGUUCAAAAUUUGGAGUAGAAGAAAAAACAAUAGAAGAAUUCCAUUUCCCUUCCUCAGUCAUCGGAGAGCUCUCUUUGGGCUUUCCAAAAAGGUAUCACAUGCCAAGUUUGGCCUCACGGUCUAAAAGUUAUAGAGUCAUACAUUUUUAACAAUACAAAAUAGAGAAAAACCGAAAAAAAAGAGGGAUGCAACACGAGGACUUUCCGGGAGGUAAUCCAUCCUAGUACUACUCUCGCCCAAGCACCCUUAACUGCGGAGUUCUGAUGGGAUCCGAUGCAUUAGUGCUGGUAUGAUCGCAUGUGUUACUACAUGCAAUGUAAUCGUAUCUAUUCUUUUUUAAAGACUUUAUGAUCCAUUUGCCGUGGGUCCCACCAGCUAUGUAGGAUUAGCCUAUCUUGUUUAUAAGAGCUUUGAUACAUGCAAAAUAUUGGAAACCAAUGUCCAAACAUAUAAUUUUCACCCCGUAAUAUAGCAAAGAUCACGAAAAGUCCCGAAAAAGUACAUUUAGGUCAAAAUUUGGAAUAGAAAAAAAAAAAAUAGGAGUAUUCCAUUUUCCUUCCUCAUUCAUCGGAGAGCUCUCUUUGAGCUUUCUGAAAAGGUAUCACAUGCCAAGUUUGGCCUCACGGUCUAAAAGUUAUAGAGUCAUACAUUUUUAAAAAUACAAAAUAGAGAAAAACCGAAGAAAAGAGGGAUGCAACACGAGGACUUUCCGGGAGGUAAUCCAUCCUAGUACUACUCUCGCCCAAGCACCCUUAACUGCGAAGUUCUAAUGGAAUCCGGUACAUUAGUGCUGGUAUGAUCGCAUCUGUUACUAUAUGCAAUGUAAUCGUAUCUAUUCUUUUUUAAAGACUUUAUGAUCCAUUUGCCGUGGGUCUCACCAGCUAUGUAGGAAUACCCUAUCUUCUUUAUAAGAGCUUUGAUAUAUGCAAAAUAUUGGAACACCAUGUCCGAACAUAUAAUUUUUCCCGUGUAAUAUAGCAAAGAUCAAGAAAAAGCCAAAAAAGUACAUUUAGGUCAAAAUUUGAGUAGAAAAAAACAAAUAGAAGAAUUCUAUAUUCCUUCCUCAUUCGUCGGAGAGCUCUCUUUGGGCUUUCCGAAAAGGUAUCAUAUGCCAAGUUUGGCCUCGCGGUCUAAAAGUUACGGAGUCUAACAUUUUUAACAAAACAAAAUAGAGAAAAACCGAAAAAAGAGGGAUGCAACACGAGGACUUUCCGGGAGGUCACCCAUCCUAGUACUACUCUCGCCCAAGCACCCUUAACUGCGGAGUUCUGAUGGGAUCCGGUGCAUUAGUGCUGGUAUGAUCGCAUGUGUUACUACAUGCAAUGUAAUCGUAUCUAUUCUUUCUUAAAGACUUUAUGAUCCAUUUGCCGUGAGUCCCACCAGCUAUGUAGGAAUACCCUAUCUUCUUUAUAAGAGCUUUGAUACAUGCAAAAUAUUGGAAAACAAUGUCCGAACAUAUAGUUUUCCCCCCGUAAUAUAGCAAAGAUCACGAAAAGGCCCGAAAAAGUACAUUUAGUUCAAAAUUUGGAGUAGAAAAAAAAACAAUAGAAGAAUUCCAUUUUCCUUCCUCAUUCAUCGGAGAGCUCUCUUUGGGCUUUCCGAAAAAGUAUCACAUGCCAAGUUUGGCCUCACGGUCUAAACGUUAUAGAGUCAUACAUUUUUAACAAUACAAAAUAGAGAAAAACCGAAAAAAGAGGGAUGCUACACGAAGACUUUCCGGGAGGUAAUCCAUCCUAGUACUACUCUUGCCCAAGCACCCUUAACUGCGGAGUUCUGAUGGAAUCUGGUGCAUUAGUGCUGGUAUGAUCGCAUGUGUUACUACAUGCAAUGUAAUCGUAUCUAUUCUUUUUUAAAGACUUUAUGAUCCAUUUGCCGUGGGUCCCACCAGCUAUGUAGGAAUACCCUAUUUUCUUUAUAAGAGCUUUGAUACAUGCAAAAUAUAUGAAAAAAACGUUCGAACAUAUAAUUUUCCCCCCGUAAUAUAGCAAAGAUCACGAAAAGGCUCGAAAAAUUACAUUUAGUUCAAAAUUUUUAGUAGAAAAAACCCAAUAGAAGAAUUCCAUUUUCCUUCCUCAGUCAUCGGAGAGCUCUCUUUGGGCUUUCCGAAAAGGUAUCACAUGCCAAGUUUGGCCUCACGGUCUAAAAGUUAUAGAGUCAUACAUUUUUAACAAAACAAAAUUGAGAAAAACCGAAAAAAAGAGGGAUGCAACACGAGGACUCUCCAAAAGGUAACCCAUCUUAGUACUACUCUCGCCCAAGCACCCUUAACUGCGGAGUUCUGAUGGGACCCGGUGCAUUUGUGCUGGUAUGAUCGCAUGUGUCACUACAUGCAAUGUAAUCGUAUCUAUUCUUUUUUAAAGACUUUAUGAUCCAUUUGCAGUGGGUCCUACCAGCUAUGUAGGAAUACCCUACCUUCUUUAUAAGAGCUUUCAUACAUGCAUAAUAUUGGAAAACAAUGUCCGAAGAUAUAAUUUUCCCCCCAUAAUAUAGCAAAGAUCACGAAAAGGCCCGAAAAAGUACAUUAUGUUCAAAAUUUGGAGUCGAAAAAAAACCAAUAGAAGAAUUCCAUUUUACUUCCUUAGUCAUCGGAGAGCUCUCUUUGGGCUUUCCGAAAAGGUAUCACAUGCCAAGUUUGGCCUCACGGUCUAAAAGUUAUAGAGUCAUACAUUUUUAACAAAACAAAAUAGAGAAAAACGGGAAAAAAGAGGGAUGUAACACGAGGACAUUCCGGGAGGUCACCCAUCCUAGUACUACUCUUGCCCAAGCACCCUUAACUGCGGAGUUCUUAUGGGAUCCGGUGCAUUAGUGUUGGUAUGAUCGCAUGUGUUACUACAUGCAAUGUAAUCGUAUCUAUUCUUUUUAAAGACUUUAUGAUCCAUUUGCCGUGGGUCCCACCAGCUAUGUAGGAAUACCCUAUCUUCUUUAUAAGAGCUUUGAUACAUGUAAAAUAUUGGAAAACAAUGUCCGAAGAUAUAAUUUUCCCCCGUAAUAUAGCAAAGAUCACGAAAAGGCCCGAAAAUGUACAUUAAGUUCAAAAUUUGGAGUAGAAAAAAAAAACAAUAGAAGAAUUCCAUUUUCCUUCCUCAUUCAUCGGAGAGCUCUCUUUGGGCUUUCCGAAAAGGUAUGACAUUCCAAGUUUGGCCUCAUGGUCUCAAAUUUAUAAAGUCAUACAUUUUUCACAAAAAAAAAAUAAAGAAAAACCAAAAAAAAAAAAGAGGGAUGUAACACGAGGACUUUUUUGGGAGGUCACCCAUCCUAGUACUACUCUCGCCCAAGCACGCUUAACUGCGGAGUUCUGAUGGGAUCCGGUUCAUUAGUGCUGGUAUGAUCACAUGUGUUACUACAUGCAAUGUAAUCGUAUCUAUUCUUUUUUAAAGACUUUAUGAUCCAUUUGCCGUGAGUCCCACCAGCUAUGUAGGAAUACCCUAUCUUCUCUAUAAGAGCUUUGAUACAUGCAAAAUAUUGGAAAACAAUGUCCGAACAUAUAGUUUUCCCCCCGUAAUAUAGCAAAGAUCACGAAAAGGCCCGAAAAAGUACAUUUAGUUCAAAAUUUGGAGUAGAAAAAAAAACAAUAAAAGAAUUUCAUUUCCCUUCCUCAGUCAUCGGAGAGCUCUCUUUGGGCUUUCCAAAAAGGUAUCACAUGCCAAGUUUGGCCUCACGGUCUAAAAGUUAUAGAGUCAUACAUUUUUAACAAUACAAAAUAGAGAAAAACCGAAAAAAAAGAGGGAUGCAACACGAGGACUUUCCGGGAGGUAAUCAAUCCUAGUACUACUCUAGCCCAAGCACCCUUAACUGCGGAGUUCUAAUGGAAUCCAGUGCAUUAGUGCGGGUAUGAUCGCAUGUGUUACUACAUGCAAUGUAAUCGUAUCUAUUCUUUUUUAAAGACUUUAUGAUCCAUUUGCCGUGGGUCCCACCAGCUAUGUAGGAAUACACUAUCUUCUUUAUAAGAGCUUUGAUACAUGCAAAAUAUUGGAAAAAAACGUCCGAACAUAUAAUUUUCCCCACGUAAUAUAGCAAAGAUCACGAAAAUGCCCCAAAAAGUACAUUUAGUUCAAAAUUUGGAGUAGAAAAAAAAACAAUAGAAGAAUUACAUUUUCCUUCCUCACUCAUCGGAGAGCUCUCUUUGGGCUUUUCGAAAAGGUACCACAUGCCAAGUUUGGCCUCACGGUCUAAAAGUUAUAGAGUCAUACAUUUUUAACAAAAUAAAAUUGAGAAAAACCGAAAAAAAGAGGGAUGCAACACGAGGACUCUCCAGAAGGUAACCCAUCUUAGUACUACUCUCGCUCUUGCACCCUUAACUAUGGAGUUCUGAUGGGACCCGGUGCAUUAGUGCUGGUAUGAUCGCAUCUGUUACUAUAUGCAAUGUAAUCGUAUCUAUUCUUUUUUAAAGACUUUAUGAUCCAUUUGCCGUGGGUCCCACCAGCUAUGUAGGAAUACCCUAUCUUCUUUAUAAGAGCUUUGAUAUAUGCAAAAUAUUGGAUUACCAUGUCCGAACAUAUAAUUUUUCCCGUGUAAUAUAGCAAAGAUCAAGAAAAAGCCAAAAAAGUACAUUUAGGUCAAAAUUUGAGUAGAAAAAAACAAAUAGAAGAAUUCCAUUUUCCUUCCUCAUUCACCGUAGAGCUCUCAUUGGGCUUUCCGAAAAGGUAUCAUAUGCCAAGUUUGGCCUCACGGUCUAAAAGUUAUAGAGUCUAACAUUCUUAACAAAACAAAAUAGAGAAAAACCGAAAAAAGAGGGAUGCAACACGAGGACUUUCCGGGAGGUCACCCAUCCUAGUACUACUCUCGCCCAAGGACCCUUAACUGCGGAGUUCUGAUGGGAUCCGUUGCAUUAGUGCUGGUAUGAUCGCAUGUGUUACUACAUGCAAUGUAAUCGUAUCUAUUCUUUCUUAAAGACUUUAUGAUCCAUUUGCCGUGCGUCCCACCAGCUAUGUAGGAAUACCCUAUCUUCUUUAUAAGAGCUUUGAUACAUGCAAAAUAUUGGAAAACAAUGUCCGAACAUAUAGUUUUCCCCCCGUAAUAUAGCAAAGAUCACGAAAAGGCCCGAAAAAGUACAUUUAGUUCAAAAUUUGGAGUAGAAAAAAAAACAAUAGAAGAAUUCCAUUUUCCUUCCUCAGUCAUCGGAGAGCUCUCUUUGGGCUUUCCGAAAAGGUAUCACAUGCCAAGUUUGGCCUCACGGUCUAAACGUUAUAGAGUCAUACAUUUUUAACAAUACAAAAUAGAGAAAAACCGAAAAAAAGAGGGAUGCAACACGAAGACUUUCCGGGAGGUAAUCCAUCCUAGUACUACUCUUGCCAAAGCACCCUUAACUGCGGAGUUCUGAUGGAAUCUGGUGCAUUAGUGCUGGUAUGAUCGCAUGUGUUACUACAUGCAAUGUAAUCGUAUCUAUUCUUUUUUAAAGACUUUAUGAUCCAUUUGCCGUGGGUCCCACCAGCUAUGUACGAAUACCCUAUCUUCUUUAUAAGAGCUUUGAUACAUGCAAAAUAUAUGAAAAAAACGUCCGAACAUAUAAUUUUCCCCCCGUAAUAUAGCAAAGAUCAUGAAAAGGCCCAAAAAAGUACAUUAAGGUCAAAAUUUGGCGUAGAAAAAAAACCAAUAGACAUAUUCCAUUGGCCUUCGUCAUUCAUUGGAGAGCUCUCUUUGGGCUUUCCGAAAAGGUAUCACAUGCCAAGUUUGGCCUCACGGUCUAAAAGUUAUAGAGUCAUACAUUUUUAACAAUACAAAAUAGAGAAAAACCGAAAAAAAGAGGGAUGCAACACGAGGACUUUCCGGGAGGUAAUCCAUCCUAGUACUACUCUCGCCCAAGCACCCUUAACUGCGGAGUUCUAAUGGAAUCCGGUGCAUUAGUGCUGGUAUGAUCGCAUCUGUUACUAUAUGCAAUGUAAUCGUAUCUAUUCUUUUUUAAAGACUUUAUGAUCCAUUUGCCGUGGGUCCCACCAGCUAUGUAGGAAUACCCUAUCUUCUUUAUAAGAGCUUUGAUAUAUGCAAAAUAUUGGAUUACCAUGUCCGAACAUAUAAUUUUUCCCGUGUAAUAUAGCAAAGAUCAAGAAAAAGCCAAAAAAGUACAUUUAGGUCAAAAUUUGAGUAGAAAAAAACAAAUAGAAGAAUUCCAUUUUCCUUCCUCAUUCACCGCAGAGCUCUCUUUGGGCUUUCCGAAAAGGUAUCAUAUGCCAAGUUUGGCCUCACGGUCUAAAAGUUAUAGAGUCUAACAUUUUUAACAAAACAAAAUAGAGAAAAACCGAAAAAAGAGGGAUGCAACACGAGGACUUUCCGGGAGGUCACCCAUCCUAGUACUACUCUCGCCCAAGGACCCUUAACUGCGGAGUUCUGAUGGGAUCCGUUGCAUUAGUGCUGGUAUGAUCGCAUGUGUUACUACAUGCAAUGUAAUCGUAUCUAUUCUUUCUUAAAGACUUUAUGAUCCAUUUGCCGUGCGUCCCACCAGCUAUGUAGGAAUACCCUAUCUUCUUUAUAAGAGCUUUGAUACAUGCAAAAUAUUGGAAAACAAUGUCCGAACAUAUAGUUUUCCCCCCGUAAUAUAGCAAAGAUCACGAAAAGGCCCGAAAAAGUACAUUUAGUUCAAAAUUUGGAGUAGAAAAAAAAACAAUAGAAGAAUUCCAUUUUCCUUCCUCAGUCAUCGGAGAGCUCUCUUUGGGCUUUCCGAAAAGGUNNNNNNNNNNNNNNNNNNNNNNNNNNNNNNNNNNNNNNNNNNNNNNNNNNGAGAAAAACCGAAAAAAGAGGGAUGCAACACGAGGACUUUCCGGGAGGUCACCCAUCCUAGUACUACUCUCGCCCAAGGACCCUUAACUGCGGAGUUCUGAUGGGAUCCGUUGCAUUAGUGCUGGUAUGAUCGCAUGUGUUACUACAUGCAAUGUAAUCGUAUCUAUUCUUUCUUAAAGACUUUAUGAUCCAUUUGCCGUGCGUCCCACCAGCUAUGUAGGAAUACCCUAUCUUCUUUAUAAGAGCUUUGAUACAUGCAAAAUAUUGGAAAACAAUGUCCGAACAUAUAGUUUUCCCCCCGUAAUAUAGCAAAGAUCACGAAAAGGCCCGAAAAAGUACAUUUAGUUCAAAAUUUGGAGUAGAAAAAAAAACAAUAGAAGAAUUCCAUUUUCCUUCCUCAGUCAUCGGAGAGCUCUCUUAGGGCUUUCCGAAAAGGUAUCACAUGCCAAGUUUGGCCUCACGGUAUAAACGUUAUAGAGUCAUACAUUUUUAACAAUACAAAAUAGAGAAAAACCGAAAAAAAGAGGGAUGCAACACGAAGACUUUCCGGGAGGUAAUCCAUCCUAGUACUACUCUUGCCAAAGCACCCUUAACUGCGGAGUUCUGAUGGAAUCUGGUGCAUUAGUGCUGGUAUGAUCGCAUGUGUUACUACAUGCAAUGUAAUCGUAUCUAUUCUUUUUUAAAGACUUUAUGAUCCAUUUGCCGUGGGUCCCACCAGCUAUGUACGAAUACCCUAUCUUCUUUAUAAGAGCUUUGAUACAUGCAAAAUAUAUGAAAAAAACGUCCGAACAUAUAAUUUUCCCCCCGUAAUAUAGCAAAGAUCAUGAAAAGGCCCAAAAAAGUACAUUAAGGUCAAAAUUUGGCGUAGAAAAAAAACCAAUAGACAUAUUCCAUUGGCCUUCGUCAUUCAUUGGAGAGCUCUCUUUGGGCUUUCCGAAAAGGUAUCACAUGCCAAGUUUGGCCUCACGGUCUAAAAGUUAUAGAGUCAUACAUUUUUAACAAUACAAAAUAGAGAAAAACCGAAAAAAAGAGGGAUGCAACACGAGGACUUUCCGGGAGGUAAUCCAUCCUAGUACUACUCUCGCCCAAGCACCCUUAACUGCGGAGUUCUAAUGGAAUCCGGUGCAUUAGUGCUGGUAUGAUCGCAUCUGUUACUAUAUGCAAUGUAAUCGUAUCUAUUCUUUUUUAAAGACUUUAUGAUCCAUUUGCCGUGGGUCCCACCAGCUAUGUAGGAAUACCCUAUCUUCUUUAUAAGAGCUUUGAUAUAUGCAAAAUAUUGGAUUACCAUGUCCGAACAUAUAAUUUUUCCCGUGUAAUAUAGCAAAGAUCAAGAAAAAGCCAAAAAAGUACAUUUAGGUCAAAAUUUGAGUAGAAAAAAACAAAUAGAAGAAUUCCAUUUUCCUUCCUCAUUCACCGCAGAGCUCUCUUUGGGCUUUCCGAAAAGGUAUCAUAUGCCAAGUUUGGCCUCACGGUCUAAAAGUUAUAGAGUCUAACAUUUUUAACAAAACAAAAUAGAGAAAAACCGAAAAAAGAGGGAUGCAACACGAGGACUUUCCGGGAGGUCACCCAUCCUAGUACUACUCUCGCCCAAGGACCCUUAACUGCGGAGUUCUGAUGGGAUCCGUUGCAUUAGUGCUGGUAUGAUCGCAUGUGUUACUACAUGCAAUGUAAUCGUAUCUAUUCUUUCUUAAAGACUUUAUGAUCCAUUUGCCGUGCGUCCCACCAGCUAUGUAGGAAUACCCUAUCUUCUUUAUAAGAGCUUUGAUACAUGCAAAAUAUUGGAAAACAAUGUCCGAACAUAUAGUUUUCCCCCCGUAAUAUAGCAAAGAUCACGAAAAGGCCCGAAAAAGUACAUUUAGUUCAAAAUUUGGAGUAGAAAAAAAAACAAUAGAAGAAUUCCAUUUUCCUUCCUCAGUCAUCGGAGAGCUCUCUUUGGGCUUUCCGAAAAGGUAUCACAUGCCAAGUUUGGCCUCACGGUCUAAACGUUAUAGAGUCAUACAUUUUUAACAAUACAAAAUAGAGAAAAACCGAAAAAAAGAGGGAUGCAACACGAAGACUUUCCGGGAGGUAAUCCAUCCUAGUACUACUCUUGCCAAAGCACCCUUAACUGCGGAGUUCUGAUGGAAUCUGGUGCAUUAGUGCUGGUAUGAUCGCAUGUGUUACUACAUGCAAUGUAAUCGUAUCUAUACUUUUUUAAAGACUUUAUGAUCCAUUUGCCGUGGGUCCCACCAGCUAUGUACGAAUACCCUAUCUUCUUUAUAAGAGCUUUGAUACAUGCAAAAUAUAUGAAAAAAACGUCCGAACAUAUAAUUUUCCCCCCGUAAUAUAGCAAAGAUCACGAAAAGGCUCGAAAAAUUACAUUUAGUUCAAAAUUUGGAGUAGAAAAACCCCAAUAGAAGAAUUCCAUUUUACUUCCUUAGUCAUCGGAGAGCUCUCUUUGGGCUUUCCGAAAAGGUAUCACAUGCCAAGUUUGGCCUCACGGUCUAAAAGUUAUAGAGUCAUACAUUUUUAACAAAACAUAAUAGAGAAAAACGGGAAAAAGAGGGAUGUAACACGAGGACUUUCCGGGAGGUCACCCAUCCUAGUACUACUCUUGCCCAAGCACCCUUAACUGCGGAGUUCUGAUGGGAUCCGGUGCAUUAGUGUUGGUAUGAUCGCAUGUGUUACUACAUGCAAUGUAAUCGUAUCUAUUCUUUUUAAAGACUUUAUGAUCCAUUUGCCGUGGGUCCCACCAGCUAUGUAGGAAUACCCUAUCUUCUUUAUAAGAGCUUUGAUACAUGCAAAAUAUUGGAAAACAAUGUCCGAACAUAUUAUUUUCCCCCCGUAAUAUAGCAAAGAUCACGAAAAGGCCCGAAAAUGUACAUUAAGUUCAAAAUUUGGAGUAGAAAAAAAAAACAAUAGAAGAAUUCCAUUUUCCUUCCUCAUUCAUCGGAGAGCUCUCUUUGGGCUUUCCGAAAAGGUAUAACAUUCCAAGUUUGGCCUCAUGGUCUCAAAGUUAUAAAGUCAUACAUUUUUCACAAAAAAAAAUAAAGAAAAACAAAAAAAAAAAAGAGGGAUGUAACACGAGGACUUUUUUGGGAGGUCACCCAUCCUAGUACUACUCUCGCCCAAGCACCCUUAACUGCGGAGUUCUGAUGGGAUCCGUUGCAUUAGUGCUGGUAUGAUCGCAUGUGUUACUACAUGCAAUGUAAUCGUAUCUAUUCUUUCUUAAAGACUUUAUGAUCCAUUUGCCGUGAGUCCCACCAGCUAUGUAGGAACACCCUAUCUUCUUUAUAAGAGCUUUGAUACAUGCAAAAUAUUGGAAAAAAACGUCCGAACAUAUAAUUUUCCCCACGUAAUAUAGCAAAGAUCACGAAAAGGCCCCAAAAAGUACAUUUAGUUCAAAAUUUGGAGUAGAAAAAAAAACAAUAGAAGAAUUCCAUUUUCCUUCCUCAGUCAUCGGAGAGCUCUCUUUGGGCUUUCCGAAAAGGUAUCACAUGCCAAGUUUGGCCUCACGGUCUAAACGUUAUAGAGUCAUACAUUUUUAACAAUACAAAAUAGAGAAAAACCGAAAAAAAGAGGGAUGCAACACGAAGACUUUCCGGGAGGUAAUCCAUCCUAGUACUACUCUUUCCAAAGCACCCUUAACUGCGGAGUUCUGAUGGAAUCUGGUGCAUUAGUGCUGGUAUGAUCGCAUGUGUUACUACAUGCAAUGUAAUCGUAUCUAUUCUUUUUUAAAGACUUUAUGAUCCAUUUGCCGUGGGUCCCACCAGCUAUGUACGAAUACCCUAUCUUCUUUAUAAGAGCUUUGAUACAUGCAAAAUAUAUGAAAAAAACGUCCGAACAUAUAAUUUUCCCCCCGUAAUAUAGCAAAGAUCACGAAAAGGCUCGAAAAAUUACAUUUAGUUCAAAAUUUGGAGUAGAAAAACCCCUAUAGAAGAAUUCCAUUUUCCUUCCUCAGUCAUCGGAGAGCUCUCUUUGGGCUUUCCGAAAAGGUAUCACAUGCCAAGUUUGGCCUCACAGUCUAAAAGUUAUAGAGUCAUACAUUUUUAACAAAACAAAAUUGAGAAAAACCGAAAAAAAGAGGGAUGCAACACGAGGACUCUCCAGAAGGUAACCCAUCUUAGUACUACUCUCGCCCAAGCACCCUUAACUGCGGAGUUCUGAUGGGACCCGGUGCAUUAGUGCUGGUAUGAUCGCAUGUGUUACUACAUGCAAUGUAAUCGUAUCUGUUCUUUUUUAAAGACUUUAUGAUCCAUUUGCCGUGGGUCCUACCAGCUAUGUAGGAAUACCCUACCUUCUUUAUAAGAGUUUUGAUACAUGCAUAAUAUUGGAAAACAAUGUCCGAAGAUAUAAUUUUCCCCCCGUAAUAUAGCAAAGAUCACGAAAAGGCCCGGAAGAGUACAUUAAGUUCAAAAUUUGGAGUAUAAAAAAAACCAAUAGAAGAAUUCCAUUUUACUUCCUUAGUCAUCGGAGAGCUCUCUUUGGGCUUUCCGAAAAGGUAUCACAUGCCAAGUUUGGCCUCACGGUCUAAAAGUUAUAGAGUCAAACAUUUUAAACAAAACAUAAUAGAGAAAAACGGGAAAAAAGAGGGAUGUAACACGAGGACUUUCCGGGAGGUCACCCAUCCUAGUACUACUCUUGCCCAAGCACCCUUAACUGCGGAGUUCUGAUGGGAUCCGGUGCAUUAGUGUUGGUAUGAUCGCAUGUGUUACUACAUGCAAUGUAAUCGUAUCUAUUCUUUUUAAAGACUUUAUGAUCCAUUUGCCGUGGGUCCCACCAGCUAUGUAGGAAUACCCUAUCUUCUUUAUAAGAGCUUUGAUACAUGCAAAAUAUUGGAAAACAAUGUCCGAACAUAUUAUUUUCCCCCCGUAAUAUAGCAAAGAUCACGAAAAGGCCCGAAAAUGUACAUUAAGUUCAAAAUUUGGAGUAGAAAAAAAAAACAAUAGAAGAAUUCCAUUUUCCUUCCUCAUUCAUCGGAGAGCUCUCUUUGGGCUUUCCGAAAAGGUAUAACAUUCCAAGUUUGGCCUCAUGGUCUCAAAGUUAUAAAGACAUACAUUUUUCACAAAAAAAAAUAAAGAAAAACCAAAAAAAAAAAAGAGGAAUGUAACACGAGGACUUUUUUGGGAGGUCACCCAUCCUAGUACUACUCUCGCCCAAGCACCCUUAACUGCGGAGUUCUGAUGGGAUCCGUUGCAUUAGUGCUGGUAUGAUCGCAUGUGUUACUACAUGCAAUGUAAUCGUAUCUAUUCUUUCUUAAAGACUUUAUGAUCCAUUUGCCGUGAGUCCCACCAGCUAUGUAGGAAUACCCUAUCUUCUUUAUAAGAGCUUUGAUACAUGCAAAAUAUUGGAAAAAAACGUCCGAACAUAUAGUUUUCCCCCCGUAAUAUAGUAAAGAUCACGAAAAGGCUCGAAAAAGUACAUUUAGUUCAAAAUUUGGAGUAGAAAAAAAAACAUUAGUAGAAUUCCAUUUCCCUUCCUCAGUCAUCGGAGAGCUCUCUCUGGGCUUUCCAAAAAGGUAUCACAUGCCAAGUUUGGCCUCACGGUCUAAAAGUUAUAGAGUCAUACAUUUUUAACAAUACAAAAUAGAGAAAAACCGAAAAAAAAGAGGGAUGCAACACGAGGACUUUCCGGGAGGUAAUCCAUCCUAGUACUACUCUCGCCUAAGCACCCUUAACUGCGGAGUUCUAAUGGAAUCCAGUGCAUUAGUGCGGGUAUGAUCGCAUGUGUUACUACAUGCAAUGUAAUCGUAUCUAUUCUUUUUUAAAGACUUUAUGAUCCAUUUGCCGUGGGUCCCACCAGCUAUGUAGGAAUACACUAUCUUCUUUAUAAGAGCUUUGAUAGAGGCAAAAUAUUGGAAAAAAACGUCCGAACAUAUAAUUUUCCCCACGUAAUAUAGCAAAGAUCACGAAAAUGCCCCAAAAAGUACAUUUAGUUCAAAAUUUGGAGUAGAAAAAAAAACAAUAGAAGAAUUACAUUUUCCUUCCUCACUCAUCGGAGAGCUCUCUUUGGGCUUUCCGAAAAGGUAUCACAUGCCAAGUUUGGUCUCACGGUCUAAGAGUUAUAGAGUCAUACAUUUUUAACAAUACAAAAUAGAGAAAAACCGAAAAAAAGAGGGAUGCAACACGAAGACUUUCCGGGAGGUAAUCCAUCCUAGUACUACUCUUGCCCAAGCACCCUUAACUGUGGAGUUCUGAUGGAAUCUGGUGCAUUAGUGCUGAUAUGAUCGCAUGUGUUACUACAUGCAAUGUAAUCGUAUCUAUUCUUUUUUAAAGACUUUAUGAUCCAUUUGCCGUGGGUCCCACCAGCUAUGUAGGAAUACCCUAUCUUCUUUAUAAGAGCUUUGAUACAUGCAAAAUAUAUGAAAAAAACGUCCGAACAUAUAAUUUUCCCCCCGUAAUAUAGCAAAGAUCACGAAAAGGCUCGAAAAAUUACAUUUAGUUCAAAAGUCCCCCGUAUGAUGUCAUUUGUUACUACAUGCAAUGCAAUCAUAUCUAUUCUUAUUUAAAGACUUUAUGAUCCAUUUGUCGUGGGUCCCACCUGUAGGAAUACCCUAUCUUGUUUAUAAAAGAUUUGAUACAUGCAAAAUACUCGAAAACAAUGUCCGAACAUAUAAUUUUCACCCCGUAAUAUAGCAAAGAUCACGAAAAGGCCCGAAAAAGUACAUUAAAGUCAAAAUUUGGAGUAGAAAAAAACCCAAUAGAAGUAUUCCAUUCUCCUUCGUCAUUCAUCGGAGAGCUCUCUUUAGGCUUUCCGAAAAGAUAUCACAUGCCAAGUUUGGCCUCACGGUUUAAAAGUUAUAGAGUCAUAGAUUUUUAACAAAACAAAAAGAGAAAAACCGAAAAAAAUUGGGAUGCAACACGAGGACUUUCCUGGAGGUCACCCAUCCUAGUACUACUCUCGCCCAAGCACCCUUAACUGCGUAGUUCUGAUGGGAUCCGAUGCUUUAGUGCUGGUAUGAUCGCAUCUGUUACUACAUGCAAUGUAAUCGUAUCUAUUCUUUUUUAAAGACUUUAUGAUCCAUUUGCCGUGGGUCCCACCAGCUAUGUAGGAAUACCCUAUCUUCUUUAUAAGAGCUUUGAUAAAUGCAAAAUAUUGGAAACCAAUGUCCGAACAUAUAAUUUCGCCCCCGUAAUAUAGCAAAGAUCACGAAAAAGCCCAAAAAAGUUCAUUUAGGUCAAAAUUUGAGCAGAAGAAAAAGAAAUAGAAGAAUUCCAUUUUCCUUCCUCAUUUAUUGGAGAGCUCUCUUUGGGCUUUCCGAAAAGGUAUCACAUGCCAAGUUUGGCCUCACGGUCUAAAAGUUAUAGAGUCAUACAUUUUUAACAAAAUGAAAUAGAGAAAAACCGAAAAAAAGAGGGAUGUAACACGAGGACUUUCCGGGAGGUAAUCUAUCCUACUACUACUCUCGGCCAAGCACCCUUAACUGCGGAGUUCUAAUGGGAUCCGGUGCAUUAGUGCUGGUAUGAUCGCAUGUGUUACUACAUGCAAUGUAAUCGUAUCUAUUCUUUUUUAAAGACUUUAUGAUCCAUUUGCCGUGGGUCCCACCAGCUAUGUAGGAAUACNNNNNNNNNNNNNNNNNNNNNNNNNNNNNNNNNNNNNNNNNNNNNNNNNNAUAUAAUGUUUGCCCCAAAAUAUAGCANAGACCACGAAAAUGCCAUAAAAAGUACAUUAAGGUCAAAAUUUGGAGUAGGAAAAAAAAUCAAUAGGAGAAUUCCAUUUUCCUUCCUCAUUCAUUGGAGAGCUCUCUUUGGGCAUUCCAAAAAGGUAUCACAUGCCAAGUUUGGCCUCACGGUCUAAAAGUUAUAGAGUAAUACAUUUUUAACAAAAAAAAAAGAGAAAAACCGAAAAAAAGAGGGAUGCAACACGAAGACUUUUCUGGAGGUCACCCAUCCUAGUACUACUCUCCCCCAAGCACGCUUAACUGUGGUGUUCUGAUAGGAUCAAGUGCAUUAGUGCUGGUAUGAUCGCAUCAGUUACUACAUGCAAUGCAAUCAUAUAUAUUCUUUUUUGAAGACUUUAUGAUCCAUUGUCGUAGGUCCCACCAGCUAUGUAGGAAUACCCUUUCUUGUUUAUAAGAGCUUUGAUACAUGCAAAAUAUUCGAAAACAAUGUCCGAACAUAUAAUUUUUGUCCCGUAAUAUAGCAAAGAUCACGAAAAGGCCAGAAAAAAUACAUUUCGGUCAAAAUUUGGAGUAGAAAAAAAGCCCUUCCUCAUUCAUUGGACAGCUCUCUUUGGGCUUUCCGAAAAGGUAUCACAUGCCAAGUUUGGCCUCACGGUCUAAACCUUAUAGACUCAUACAUUUUUCACAAAAAAAAGAAGAGAAAAGCCAAAAAAAAAGAGUGAUUAAACACGAGGACUUUCCUGGAGGUCACCCAUCCUAGUACUACUCUCGCCCAAGCACGCUUAACUGCGAAGUUCUGAUGGGAUCUGGUGCAUUAGUGCUGGUAUGAUCGCAUCUGUUACUACAUGCAAUGAAAUCGUAUCUAUUCUUUUUUGAAGAUUUUAUGAUUCAUUUACCGUGGGUCCCACCAGCUAUGUAGGAAUAACCUAUCUUAUUUAUAAGAUCUUUGAUACAUGCAAAAUAUUGGAAAACAAUGUCCGAACAUAUAAUGUUCGCCCCAAAAUAUAGCAAAGACCACAAAAAUGCCAUAAAAAGUACAUUAAGGUCAAAAUUUGGAGUAGGAAAAAAACCAAUAAGAGAAUUCCAUUUUCCUUCCCUCAUUCAUCGGAGAUCUCUCUUUGGGCAUUCCAAAAAGGUAUCACAUGCCAAGUUUGGCCUCACGGUCUAAAAGUUAUAGAGUAAUACAUUUUUAACAAAAAAAAAAGAGAAAAACCGAAAAAAAGAGGGAUGCAACACGAAGACUUUUCUGGAGGUCACCCAUCCUAGUACUACUCUCCCCCAAGCACGCUUAACUGUGGUGUUCUGAUAGGAUCAAGUGCAUUAGUGCUGGUAUGAUCGCAUCAGUUACUACAUGUAAUGCAAUCAUAUAUAUUCUUUUUUGAAGACUUUAUGAUCCAUUUGCCGUAGGUCCCACCAGCUAUGUAGGAAUACCCUAUCUCGUUUAUAAGAGCUUUGAUACAUGCAAAAUAUUCGAAAACAAUGUCCGAACAUAUAAUGUUUGCCCCAAAAUAUAGCAAAGACCACGAAAAUGCCAUAAAAAGUACAUUAAGGUCAAAAUUUGGAGUAGGAAAAAAAAUCAAUAGGAGAAUUCCAUUUUCCUUCCUCAUUCAUCGGAGAGCUCUCUUUGGGCAUUCCAAAAAGGUAUGACAUGCCAAGUUUGGCCUCACGGUCUAAAAGUUAUAGAGUAAUACAUUUUUAACAAAAAAAAAAGAGAAAAACCGAAAAAAAGAGGGAUGCAACACGAAGACUUUUCUGGAGGUCAUCCAUCCUAGUACUACUCUCCCCCAAGCACGCUUAACUGUGGUGUUCUGAUAGGAUCAAGUGCAUUAGUGCUGGUAUGAUCGCAUCAGUUACUACAUGCAAUGCAAUCAUAUAUAUUCUUUUUUGAAGACGUUAUGAUCCAUUUGCCGUAGGUCCCACCAGCUAUGUAGGAAUACCCUAUCUUGUUUAUAAGAGCUUUGAUACAUGCAAAAUAUUCGAAAACAAUGUCCGAACAUAUAAUUUUUGUCCCGUAAUAUAGCAAAGAUCACGAAAAGGCCAGAAAAAAUACAUUUUGGUCAAAAUUUGGAGUAGAAAAAAAACCCUUCCUCAUUCAUUGGACAGCUCUCUUUGGGCUUUCCGAAAAGGUAUCACAUGCCAAGUUUGGCCUCACGGUCUAAAAGUUAUAGAGUCAUACAUUUUUCACAAAAAAAAGAAGAGAAAAACCAAAAAAAAGAGUGAUGAAACACGAGGACUUUCCUGGAGGUCACCCAUCCUAGUACUACUCUCGCCCAAGCACGCUUCACUGCGAAGUUCUGAUGGGAUCUGGUGCAUUAGUGCUGGUAUGAUCGCAUCUGUUACUACAUGCAAUGCAAUCAUAUCUAUUCUUUUUUGAAGAUUUUAUGAUUCAUUUACCGUGGGUCCCACCAGCUAUGUAGGAAUAACCUAUCUUAUUUAUAAGAGCUUUGAUACAUGCAAAAUAUUGGAAAACAAUGUCCGAACAUAUAAUGUUCGCCCCAAAAUAUAGCAAAGACAACAAAAAUGCCAUAAAAAGAAAAUUAAGGUCAAAAUUUUGAGUAGGAAAAAAAUCAAUAAGAGAAUUCCAUUUUCCUUCCCUCAUUCAUCGGAGAUCUCUCUUUGGGCAUUCCAAAAAGGUAUCACAUGCCAAGUUUGGCCUCACGGUCUAAAAGUUAUAGAGUAAUACAUUUUUAACAAAAAAAGAAGAGAAAAACCGAAAAAAAGAGGGAUGCAACACGAAGACUUUUCUGGAGGUCACCCAUCCUAGUACUACUCUCCCCCAAGCACGCUUAACUGUGGUGUUCUGAUAGGAUCAAGUGCAUUAGUGCUGGUAUGAUCGCAUCAGUUACUACAUGUAAUGCAAUCAUAUAUAUUCUUUUUUGAAGACUUUAUGAUCCAUUUGCCGUACGUCCCACCAGCUAUGUAGGAAUACCCUAUCUCGUUUAUUAGAGCUUUGAUACAUGCAAAAUAUUCGAAAACAAUGUCCGAACAUAUAAUGUUUGCCCCAAAAUAUAGAAAAGACCACGAAAAUGCCAUAAAAAGUACAUUAAGGUCAAAAUUUGGAGUAGGAAAAAAAAUCAAUAGGAGAAUUCCAUUUUCCUUCCUCAUUCAUCGGAGAGCUCUCUUUGGGCAUUCCAUAAAGGUAUCACAUGCCAAGUUUGGCCUCACGGUCUAAAAGUUAUAGAGUAAUACAUUUUUAACAAAAAAAAAAGAGAAAAACCGAAAAAAAGAGGGAUGCAACACGAAGACUUUUCUGGAGGUCACCCAUCCUAGUACUACUCUCCCACAAGCACGCUUAACUGUGGUGUUCUGAUAGGAUCAAGUGCAUUAGUGCUGGUAUGAUCGCAUCAGUUACUACAUGUAAUGCAAUCAUAUAUAUUCUUUUUUGAAGACUUUAUGAUCCAUUUGCCGUAGGUCCCACCAGUUAUGUAGGAAUACCCUAUCUCGUUUAUAAGAGCUUUGAUACAUGCAAAAUAUUCGAAAACAAUGUCCGAACAUAUAAUGUUUGCCCCAAAAUAUAGCAAAGACCACGAAAAUGCCAUAAAAAGUACAUUAAGGUCAAAAUUUGGAGUAGGAAAAAAAAUCAAUAGGAGAAUUCCAUUUUCCUUCCUCAUUCAUGGGAGAGCUCUCUUUGGGCAUUCCAAAAAGGUAUCACAUGCCAAGUUUGGCCUCACGGUCUAAAAGUUAUAGAGUAAUACAUUUUUAACAAAAAAAAAAGAGAAAAACCGAAAAAAAGAGGGAUGCAACACGAAGACUUUUCUGGAGGUCACCCAUCCUAGUACUACUCUCCCCCAAGCACGCUUAACUGUGGUGUUCUGAUAGGAUCAAGUGCAUUAGUGCUGGUAUGAUCGCAUCAGUUACUACAUGCAAUGCAAUCAUAUAUAUUCUUUUUUGAAGACGUUAUGAUCCAUUUGCCGUAGGUCCCACCAGCUAUGUAGGAAUACCCUAUCCUGUUUAUAAGAGCUUUGAUAUAUGCAAAAUAUUCAAAAACAAUGUCCGAACAUAUAAUUUUUGUCCCGUAAUAUAGCAAAGAUCACGAAAAGGCCAGAAAAAAUAAAUUUCGGUCAAAAUUUGGAGUAGAAAAAAAACCCUUCCUCAUUCAUUGGACAGCUCUCUUUGGGCUUUCCGAAAAGGUAUCACAUGCCAAGUUUGGCCUCACGGUCUAAACCUUAUAGACUCAUACAUUUUUUACAAAAAAAAGAAGAGAAAAACCAAAAAAAAGAGUGAUUAAACACGAGGACUUUCCUGGAGGUCACCCAUCCUAGUACUACUCUCGCCCAAGCACGCUUAACUGCGAAGUUCUUAUGGGAUCUGGUGCAUUAGUGCUGGUAUGAUCGCAUCUGUUACUACAUGCAAUGCAAUUGUAUCUAUUCUUUUUUGAAGAUUUUAUGAUUCAUUUACCGUGGGUCCCACCAGCUAUGUAGGAAUAACCUAUCUGAUUUAUAAAAGCUUUGAUACAUGCAAAAUAUUCGAAAACAAUGUCCGAACAUAUAAUGUUCGCCCCAAAAUAUAGCAAAGACCGUAAAAAUGCCAUAAAAAGUACAUUAAGGUCAAAAUUUGGAGUAGGAAAAAAAAUCAAUAGGAGAAUUCCAUUUUCCUUCCCUCAUUCAUCGAAGAGCUCUCUUUGGGCAUUCCAAAAAGGUAUCACAUGCCAAGUUUGGCCUCACGGUCUAAAAGUUAUAGAGUAUUACAUUUUUAACAAAAAAAAAAGAGAAAAACCGAUAAAAAGAGGGAUGCAACACGAAGACUUUUCUGGAGGUCACCAAUCCUAGUACUACUCUCCCCCAAGCACGCUUAACUGUGGUGUUCUGAUAGGAUCAAGUGCAUUAGUGCUGGUAUGAUCGCAUCAGUUACUACAUGCAAUGCAAUCAUAUAUAUUCUGUUUUGAAGACUUUAUGAUCCAUUUGUCGUAGGUCCCACCAGCUAUGUAGGAAUACCCUUUCUUGUUUAUAAGAGCUUUGAUACAUGCAAAAUAUUCGAAAACAAUGUCCGAACAUAUAAUUUUUGUCCCGUAAUAUAGCAAAGAUCACGAAAAGGCCAGAAAAAAUACAUUUCGGUCAAAAUUUGGAGUAGAAAAAAAGCCCUUCCUCAUUCAUUGGACAGCUCUCUUUGGGCUUUCCGAAAAGGUAUCACAUGCCAAGUUUGGCCUCACGGUCUAAACCUUAUAGACUCAUACAUUUUUCACAAAAAAAAGAAGAGAAAAACCAAAAAAAAAGAGUGAUUAAACACGAGGACUUUCCUGGAGGUCACCCAUCCUAGUACUACUCUCGCCCAAGCACGCUUAACUGCGAAGUUCUGAUGGGAUCUGGUGCAUUAGUGCUGGUAUGAUCGCAUCUGUUACUACAUGCAAUGAAAUCGUAUCUAUUCUUUUUUGAAGAUUUUAUGAUUCAUUUACCGUGGGUCCCACCAGCUAUGUAGGAAUAACCUAUCUCGUUUAUAAGAGCUUUGAUACAUGCAAAAUAUUCGAAAACAAUGUCCGAACAUAUAAUGUUUGCCCCAAAAUAUAGAAAAGACCACGAAAAUGCCAUAAAAAGUACAUUAAGGUCAAAAUUUGGAGUAGGAAAAAAAAUCAAUAGGAGAAUUCCAUUUUCCUUCCUCAUUCAUCGGAGAGCUCUCUUUGGGCAUUCCAUAAAGGUAUCACAUGCCAAGUUUGGCCUCACGGUCUAAAAGUUAUAGAGUAAUACAUUUUUAACAAAAAAAAAAGAGAAAAACCGAAAAAAAGAGGGAUGCAACACGAAGACUUUUCUGGAGGUCACCCAUCCUAGUACUACUCUCCCACAAGCACGCUUAACUGUGGUGUUCUGAUAGGAUCAAGUGCAUUAGUGCUGGUAUGAUCGCAUCAGUUACUACAUGUAAUGCAAUCAUAUAUAUUCUUUUUUGAAGACUUUAUGAUCCAUUUGCCGUAGGUCCCACCAGUUAUGUAGGAAUACCCUAUCUCGUUUAUAAGAGCUUUGAUACAUGCAAAAUAUUCGAAAACAAUGUCCGAACAUAUAAUGUUUGCCCCAAAAUAUAGCAAAGACCACGAAAAUGCCAUAAAAAGUACAUUAAGGUCAAAAUUUGGAGUAGGAAAAAAAAUCAAUAGGAGAAUUCCAUUUUCCUUCCUCAUUCAUGGGAGAGCUCUCUUUGGGCAUUCCAAAAAGGUAUCACAUGCCAAGUUUGGCCUCACGGUCUAAAAGUUAUAGAGUAAUACAUUUUUAACAAAAAAAAAAGAGAAAAACCGAAAAGAAGAGGGAUGCAACACGAAGACUUUUCUGGAGGUCAUCCAUCCUAGUACUACUCUCGCCCAAGCACACUUAACUGCGGUGUUCUGAUAGGAUCAAGUGCAUUAGUGCUGGUAUGAUCGCAUCAGUUACUACAUGCAAUGCAAUCUUAUAUAUUCUUUUUUGAAGACUUUAUGAUCCAUUUGCCGUCGGUCCCACCAGCUAUGUAGGAAUACCCUAUCUUGUUUAUAAGAGCUUUGAUAUAUGCAAAAUAUUCAAAAAUAAUGUCCGAACAUAUAAUUUUUGUCCCGUAAUAUAGCAAAGAUCACGAAAAGGCCAGAAAAAAUAAAUUUCGGUCAAAAUUUGGAGUAGAAAAAAAACCCUUCCUCAUUCAUUGGACAGCUCUCUUUGGGCUUUCCGAAAAGGUAUCACAUGCCAAGUUUGGCCUCACGGUCUAAACCUUAUAGACUCAUACAUUUUUUACAAAAAAAAGAAGAGAAAAACCAAAAAAAAGAGUGAUUAAACACGAGGACUUUCCUGGAGGUCACCCAUCCUAGUACUACUUUCGCCCAAGCACGCUUAACUGCGAAGUUCUUAUGGGAUCUGGUGCAUUAGUGCUGGUAUGAUCGCAUCUGUUACUACAUGCAAUGCAAUUGUAUCUAUUCUUUUUUGAAGAUUUUAUGAUUCAUUUACCGUGGGUCCCACCAGCUAUGUAGGAAUAACCUAUCUGAUUUAUAAAAGCUUUGAUACAUGCAAAAUAUUCGAAAACAAUGUCCGAACAUAUAAUGUUCGCCCCAAAAUAUAGCAAAGACCGUAAAAAUGCCAUAAAAAGUACAUUAAGGUCAAAAUUUGGAGUAGGAAAAAAAUCAAUAGGAGAAUUCCAUUUUCCUUCCCUCAUUCAUCGGAGAGCUCUCUUUGGGCAUUCCAAAAAGGUAUCACAUGCCAAGUUUGGCCUCACGGUCUAAAAGUUAUAGAGUAUUACAUUUUUAACAAAAAAAAAAGAGAAAAGCCGAUAAAAAGAGGGAUGCUACACGAAGACUUUUCUGGAGGUCACCAAUCCUAGUACUACUCUCCCCCAAGCACGCUUAACUGUGGUGUUCUGAUAGGAUCAAGUGCAUUAGUGCUGGUAUGAUCGCAUCAGUUACUACAUGCAAUGCAAUCAUAUAUAUUCUGUUUUGAAGACUUUAUGAUCCAUUUGUCGUAGGUCCCACCAGCUAUGUAGGAAUACCCUUUCUUGUUUAUAAGAGCUUUGAUACAUGCAAAAUAUUCGAAAACAAUGUCCGAACAUAUAAUUUUUGUCCCGUAAUAUAGCAAAGAUCACGAAAAGGCCAGAAAAAAUACAUUUCGGUCAAAAUUUGGAGUAGAAAAAAAGCCCUUCCUCAUUCAUUGGACAGCUCUCUUUGGGCUUUCCGAAAAGGUAUCACAUGCCAAGUUUGGCCUCACGGUCUAAACCUUAUAGACUCAUACAUUUUUCACAAAAAAAAGAAGAGAAAAACCAAAAAAAAAGAGUGAUUAAACACGAGGACUUUCCUGGAGGUCACCCAUCCUAGUAAUACUCUCGCCCAAGCACGCUUAACUGCGAAGUUCUGAUGGGAUCUGGUGCAUUAGUGCUGGUAUGAUCGCAUCUAUUACUACAUGCAAUGAAAUCGUAUCUAUUCUUUUUUGAAGAUUUUAUGAUUCAUUUACCGUGGGUCCCACCAGCUAUGUAGGAAUAACCUAUCUUAUUUAUAAGAUCUUUGAUACAUGCAAAAUAUUGGAAAACAAUGUCCGAACAUAUAAUGUUCGCCCCAAAAUAUAGCAAAGACCACAAAAAUGCCAUAAAAAGUACAUUAAGGUCAAAAUUUGGAGUAGGAAAAAAACCAAUAAGAGAAUUCCAUUUUCCUUCCCUCAUUCAUCGGAGAUCUCUCUUUGGGCAUUCCAAAAAGGUAUCACAUGCCAAGUUUGGCCUCACGGUCUAAAAGUUAUAGAGUAAUACAUUUUUAACAAAAAAAAAAAGAGAAAAACCGAAAAAAAGAGGGAUGCAACACGAAGACUUUUCUGGAGGUCACCCAUCCUAGUACUACUCUCCCCCAAGCACGCUUAACUGUGGUGUUCUGAUAGGAUCAAGUGCAUUAGUGCUGGUAUGAUCGCAUCAGUUACUACAUGUAAUGCAAUCAUAUAUAUUCUUUUUUGAAGACUUUAUGAUCCAUGUGCCGUAGGUCCCACCAGCUAUGUAGGAAUACCCUAUCUCAUUUAUAAGAGCUUUGAUACAUGCAAAAUAUUCGAAAACAAUGUCCGAACAUAUAAUGUUUGCCCCAAAAUAUAGCAAAGACCACGAAAAUGCCAUAAAAAGUACAUUAAGGUCAAAAUUUGGAGUAGGAAAAAAAAUCAAUAGGAGAAUUCCAUUUUCCUUCCUCAUUCAUCGGAGAGCUCUCUUUGGGCAUUCCAAAAAGGUAUCACAUGGCAAGUUUGGCCUCACGGUCUAAAAGUUAUAGAGUAAUACAUUUUUAACAAAAAAAAAAGAGAAAAACCGAAAAAAAGAGGGAUGCAACACGAAGACUUUUCUGGAGGUCACCCAUCCUAGUACUACUCUCCCCCAAGCACGCUUAACUGUGGUGUUCUGAUAGGAUCAAGUGCAUUAGUGCUGGUAUGAUCGCAUCAGUUACUACAUGCAAUGCAAUCAUAUAUAUUCUUUUUUGAAGACGUUAUGAUCCAUUUGCCGUAGGUCCCACCAGCUAUGUAGGAACACCCUAUCUUGUUUAUAAGAGCUUUGAUACAUGCAAAAUAUUCGAAAACAAUGUCCGAACAUAUAAUUUUUGUCCCGUAAUAUAGCAAAGAUCACGAAAAGGCCAGAAAAAAUACAUUUCGGUCAAAAUUUGGAGUAGAAAAAAAACCCUUCCUCAUUCAUUGGACAGCUCUCUUUGGGCUUUCCGAAAAGGUAUCACAUGCCAAGUUUGGCCUCACGGUCUAAAAGUUAUAGAGUCAUACAUUUUUCACAAAAAAAGCAAGAGAAAAACAAAAAAAAAGAGUGAUGAAACACGAGGACUUUCCUGGAGGUCACCCAUCCUAGUACUACUCUCGCCCAAGCACGCUUAACUGCGAAGUUCUGAUGGGAUCUGGUGCAUUAGUGCUGGUAUGAUCGCAUCUGUUACUACAUGCAAUGCAAUCGUAUAUAUUCUUUUUUGAAGACUUUAUGAUCCAUUUGUCGUAGGUCCCACCAGUUAUGUAGGAAUACCCUAUCUCGUUUAUAAGAGCUUUGAUACAUGCAAAAUAUUCGAAAACAAUGUCCGAACAUAUAAUGUUUGCCCCAAAAUAUAGCAAAGACCACGAAAAUGCCAUAAAAAGUACAUUAAGGUCAAAAUUUGGAGUAGGAAAAAAAAUCAAUAGGAGAAUUCCAUUUUCCUUCCUCAUUCAUUGGAGAGCUCUCUUUGGGCAUUCCAAAAAGGUAUCACAUGCCAAGUUUGGCCUCACGGUCUAAAAGUUAUAGAGUAAUACAUUUUUAACAAAAAAAAAAGAGAAAAACCGAAAAAAAGAGNNNNNNNNNNNNNNNNNNNNNNNNNNNNNNNNNNNNNNNNNNNNNNNNNNUCAUACAUUUUUAACAAAACAAAUAGAGAAAAACCGAAAAAAAGAAUGAUACAACACAAGGACUUUCCGGGAGGUCACCCAUCCUAAUACUAUUCUCGCCCAAGCAAGCUUAACUGCAGAGUAUUGAUGGGAUCUGAUGCAUAAGGGCUGAUAUGAUCGCAUCCGUUACUACAAGCAAUGCAAUCGUAUCUAUUCGUUUUUGAAGACUUUAUGAUCCAUUUGCCGUGGGUCCCACCAGCUAUGUAGGAAUACCCUAUCUUGUUUAUAAGAGCUUUGAUACAUGCAAAAAAUUGGAAAACAAUGUCUGAACAUAUAAUUUUUGUCCCGUAAUAUAGCAAAGAUCACGAAAAGGAUAGAAAAAGUACAUUAAGGUCAAAAUUUUGAGUAGAAAAAAAAUCAAUAGAAGGAUUCCAAUUUCCUUCCUCAUUCAUAUAGCUCUCUUUGGGCUUUCCGAAAAGGUAUCACAUGCAAAGUUUGGCCUCGCGGUCUAAAAGUUAUAGAGGUAUACAUUUUUACCAAAAAAAAGAGGGAUUCAACACGAGGACUUUCUGGGAGGUCACUCAUCCUAUUACUACUCUCGCCCAAGCACACUUAACUGCGGAGUUCUGAUAGGAUCCAGUGCAUUAGUGCGGGUAUGAUCACAUCCGUUACUACAUGCAAUGCAAUCGUAUAUAUUUUUUUUGAAGACUUUAUGAUCCAUUUGCCGUGGGUCUCACCAGCUAUGUAGGAAUACCCUAUCUUGUUUGUAAGAGCUUUGAUACAUGCAAAAUAUUCGAAAACAAUGUCAGAACGUAUGCUUUUUGCCCCGUAAUAUAGCAUAGAUCAUGAAAAGGCCAGAAAAAGUACAUUAAGGUCAAAAUUUUGAGUAGAAAAAAAAACAAUAGAAAAAUUCCAUUGUCCUUCCUCAUUCAUCGGAGAGUUCUCUUUGGGCUUUCCGAAAAGGUAUCACAUGCCAAGUUUGGCCUCACGGUCUAAAACUUAUAGAAUCAUACAUUCUUAACAAAAAAAAAAGAGAAAAACCGAAAAAAAGAAGAAUGCAACACAAGGACUUUCCAUGAGGUCAACCAUCCUAGUACUACUCUCGCCCAAUCACGCUUAACUGCAGAGUUUUGAUGGGAUCCGGUGCAUUAGUGCUGGUAUGAUCGCAUCUGUUACUACAUGCAAUGCAAUCGUAUCUAUUCUUUUUUGAAGACUUUAUGAUCCAUUUGUCGUGGGUCCCACCAACUAUGUAAGAAUACCCUAUCUUGUUUAUAAGAGCUUUGAUACAUGCAAAAUAUUCGAAAACAAUGUCAGAACGUAUGCUUUUUGCCCCGUAAUAUAGCAUAGAUCAUGAAAAGGCCAGAAAAAGUACAUUAAGGUCAAAAUUUUGAGUAGAAAAAAAAACAAUAGAAAAAUUCCAUUGUCCUUCCUCAUUCAUCGGAGAGUUCUCUUUGGGCUUUCCGAAAAGGUAUCACAUGCCAAGUUUGGCCUCACGGUCUAAAAUUUAUAGAGUCAUACAUUUUUAACAAAAAAAAAAGAGAAAAACCGAAAAAAGAGGGAUGGAACACAAGGACUUUCCGGGAGGUCACCCAUUCUAGUACUACUCUCACCCAAGCGCGCUUAACUGUGGAGUUCUGAUGGGAUCCAGUGCAUUAGUGAUGGUAUGAUCGCAUCCGUUACUACAUGCAAUGCAAUAAUAUCUUUUCUUCUUGAAGACUUUAUGAUCCAUUUGUCGUGGGUCCCACCAGCUAUGUAGGAAUACCCUAUCUUGUUUAUAAGAGCUUUGAUACAUGCAAAAUAUUCAAAAACAAUGUCCGAACAUAUAAUUUUCGCCCCGUAAUAUAGCAAAGAUCGCGAAAACGCCAAAAGAGUACAUUAAGGUCAAAAUUUGGAGUAGAAAAAAAACCCAAUAGAAGAAUUCCAUUUUCCUUCAUCAUUCACCAGAGAGCUCUCUUUUGGCUUUUUGAAAAGGUAUCACAUGCCAAGUUUGGCCUCACGGUCUAAAAGUUAUAGAGUCAUUCAUUUUAAAAAAAAAAAUAGAGAAAAACCAAAAAAAAAAAGAGGGAUGAAACACGAGGACUUUCCGGGAGGUCACCCAUCCUAGUACUACUCUCGCCCAAGCACACUUAACUGCGGAGUUCUUAUGGGAUCUGGUGCAUUAGUGCUGCUAUGAUCGCAUCCGUUACUACAUGCAAUGCAAUCGUAUCUAUUCUUUUUUGAAGACUUUAUGAUCCAUUUGCUGUGGGUCCUGAUAUGUCUAUAAUUUACAUCUUUUCAGUGUCCAUUCAUCACCGUUUUGAGUCCAGUUUUGUAUCAUUCAUCGCUGUUUUAUAUCAUUUCUCAUCAUUCUUGCAUACUUUGCAUGAUUAGGAUAGUUUUGCAUACAUAUUGCAUUUCUAAGUUGUUUUCAGGUGAUUUGGAGCUGUUUGCGAGCAAAUUGGAAGAAACGAGCCAGAACCAGAAGACAUACUCGACCACCAGGUCGUGUGCAUCCAGCACCAUACUCGACCCCCUGGUCGAGUGACUUUGGAGCCAUUCUUCCCAUCUACUCGACCCCCUAGUCGAGUAUCCUCAGCUCAGGCUACUCGAUGACGCCAUCGACCCCCUGGUCGAGUAUCACUUCGCCACACCACCUGACCACACUCGGCCAUUCACUCUACCAAGUUAGUCGACCCCCUGGUCGAGUAUCAUCACUCACCACCAUCACCAUCACUCGACCGGACACUCGAUCACGUCUUCACAGUCUACUCAAAUCCGCACUCAACCAGACAAGCUGAGCACAAGGAAGAGAAGAGGAGAAGACAAAGUGUUUGGAAGCGGCCUGGACCUCCAUCGGAUCACAAAGCCCAUCUCGGCCCAUUAUCACUCUAUUGGUCGGGCGAUUAGGUUAUUGGCCCGUCUACUAUCAUUUUGUUUUGUAUAAAUAGAUGUCUUAGGGUUCUUUCCUGAGACAUCUAGUCGACAUUGAGUUUUUGUUUCAGUUUUAUUUUCUAUUUUACUCUUCUGCGCCGCUUUUGCUUCUACAACCUAUAAUUCGAGAUUUUUCCAAGUUAUUCAGAUUCUGCAUUUGAUUUUAUCUAUCAUCCUGUUUCUCUACUCUUUAUCUCUUUACUUAUGCAAUAUUAUCAUUUAUCUGCGUUUAUGUCUUUGAGCAUGUUGUCUGAGUAGUGACAUAGAAUUCUUAGGGAUGGGAUAGAGUAGUUGUGGAAUCCGUAGUCUGUAGAAUGGUUAAGUUUUAGAAUUGAUUGAAUCCCUUCAGGACUAGUUGCGUUUACUGCUUAUUUCUUUCUGAUCAACUGGAAUUCGAUCCCAAGCAUUCUCGCACCCAGAAGGUGUUCGAUGGAAUGCUUGAUCCACUAGUUCCUGAGAUAUUCGUCUCUAUCCCAAGGGAUUGGGCGUUUAGAGCGUUUAUUGACUUUAUCAGUCUGUUCUUAUUGCCUGCAUAGUUAGAUUGCGUUAAUGGGAAUUAGUCUGGGCUAGCUUUGCUUGAGGAUUUCUAUCACAGAAGUGAAUUGAUUUGUUGUUGAACCUAUUGUCUAGGGAUAGCUUGAUUGCGCUUGUUAACCAUUCGAAUAUGCUAGGAUAUGAUAAGGUCUGACCCUAUCGAAGACAAGAAAAAGACUAAGAGUGAUAAAAUAACAAGAUAAUAGGAAAUGCACCUUGAACGGCGGAGAGUGUAGAUGAGAGAGAGAAUUUCAAGAUUAAUGUUGUUGAUUGUUUAUUUUGAUAACAAAACCCUAAAAGGGAAGGUUCCUUAAAUAGCAUCUACUGAGACUCAAUACAAAACGCAGCAUUUCGAUAACCCAAAAGUAAAACGACACAGUUGGCGAGCUGUCUUUCUGUGCCGAGCUGGCGAGCUGUCUUUCUGUGCCUUAGCCACUUUUAAAUAGAAGCUUCCUCAGGAACUUCUCACGAGCUCUGCCUUUCCUUCCAUUUGAUUUCGCCCUUCUUCUCACACCAGCCAACGUCACCUGUAACCUAUCAAUGCUCCCGCGCAGAAGACUGACCUUGUCCUCAAGGUCGAAGUCCGGGUACUGCUGCACCAAAGUGAGGAGCGGCUCCCAAGUUGAUUCCAAGGUUGAUAAUCCAGACCACUGUACCAGCACCUCUGGUCCUGAAUUUGUGUUGCUCUGUCGGAUAUCUAGCAGCUUCUCAGGUCCUGUGUUCCAUUCCAGUGUGGGUGAUAGUAUCUUGGGAAGUUCCUGCGGGGUGAAUGACGGAGGUACAGCCCUUUUCAGUUGAGAGACAUGGAACACCGGGUGAAUUGUGCUGUGUUCGGGUAGUUGGAGCUUGUAAGCGACCUGACCUAUGCGGUGCAGCACUUUAAAUGGACCGAAGUAGCGCUGGGACAGCUUUUCAUUCUUCCUAUGAGCCACAGAACUUUGCCUAUAAGGACGCAGCUUCAAGUAAACCCAUUCAUCAAUUUCAAACGCUACAUCACGUCGACUUUUAUCAGCAGCCUUUUUCAUUUGAGCUUGAGCUAUCUCCAAGUUCUCUCUUAAUUCAACCAGCAUUCCAUCCUUAUCCUUAAGUAACUCCUCUACAUUCGCAUUAUUGGUUGGAAUAUCGCCAUACCUGAGCAGAACUGGUGGUUCUCUACCAUAGACUGCUUGAAAGGGAGUGGUUUUGGUGGCUGAAUGGUACGAGGUGUUGUACCAGUAUUCUGCCCAAGGUAACCACUGAAACCACGAUGUAGGCCUCCUCCCUGCAAAGCAUCGCAAAUAAGACUCAAGACAUCUGUUAACAACCUCGGUCUGCCCAUCAGUUUGUGGGUGAUAGGCUGUACUCUUCUGUAGCCCCGUGCCCUGCAGCUUAAACAACUCAGACCAGAAUCCGCUCAGGAAAAUCCUGUCCCUGUCCGAAACCAGUGUGUUUGGGAAGCCAUGUAGCUUGACUACAUCUCUUAUGAAGGCCUCAACUACAGUCUUGGCAGUGAAUGGAUGUUUAAGUGGAAUGAAAUGACUAUACUUACUUAAUCUAUCCACCACUACCAAUAUACAGUUAAACCUGUUAGAGCUUGGCAACCCUUCUACAAAGUCCAAGCUGACAUCACUCCAAAUCUGUUGUGGAAUAGGGAGAGGUGAUAGUAAACCGGCUGGAGAGAGGGUAGAGUAUUUAUUCUCUUGACAGAUUUGGCAUCCCUUGAUGUAGUUAACCACGUCUUUCCGCAACCCUCUCCAGUAUACUUCACUUGUGAGUCGUUUGAAUGUCUUAAGGGCACCUUCAUGACCUCCAAUAGGACUGGUGUGGAACUUCUCUAGCAUCUUUGGAAUGAAGGGAGAUCCUACAGGAAUUACCAAACAGCCUUUUCUGUAAAUCAAGCCAUCUGCCACAGUGAAGUCAGAAUCAUGGUGGUCCCCUUGUGCCCAGUUCUUAAGUAUCUGGCUCAACUCAUGAUCCUGCUGAAUUUCUGCCUUUAGUGCAGUCAAGUCGAUAGUAGGAGGACCAGUUAUAGUGAGCUGUGAGAGAGCCUCAGUUGGAGGUCUCCUUGAGAGUGCAUCAGCUACCUUAUUGUCAACUCCUGGUUUAUAUUCGAUCCUAUACUUCAGUCCACUCAACUUAGACGCCCAUCUCUGCUGUAUUGUGGACACCGACUUCUGUUCCAACAAAUGUCUGAGGCUGCGUUGAUCUGUCUUGAUAAUGAAUUCUUUACUUGAUAGGUAAUGCUUCCACUUUGUGACAGCUUUCACUAUGGCUAACAGUUCACGUUCAUAAACUGACCUUAUUCUGCCUUGACUGGAGAAGGCUUGGCUGAGAAAUGCAAUAAGCCUCUUAUUCUGUGACAGUACUGCUCCAAUCCCCAUCCCUGAUGCAUCCGUUUCCACAGUAAACUCCUGCUGGAAAUCUGGUAACACUAGCACAGGUAGUGCUGAAACAGCUGCUUUGAGAGCCUGAAAUGCAGAAGUAGCUGCCUCAUUCCAAUCAAAACUGUUCUUUUUUAACUGAUCUCUGAGUGGUCUGGCGAUUUGGCCGUAAUUCUUGACAAAUCGGCGAUAGUAGCCAGUGAAUCCUAGGAAGCCUCUUAACUCAGUCACAGAUUUAGGUAAAGGCCACUGGAGCAUUGCUUCCACCUUUUCUGGAUCUGUUGCGACUCCUUGCUCAGAGAUAAUGUGUCCCAAAUAUGAGAUCCUAGUGCUUCCAAAUGUGCACUUUUUAAAAUUGGCAUAGAACUGAUGAAGAUGCAGUAGCUGUAAGACGGUUUCCAAAUGCUUCAAAUGUGUCUUCAUAUCAGGACUAUAAACUAGUAUAUCAUCGAAGAAAACCAAGACGAACUUUCGCAAGUAUGGCCUGAAUAGGUCAUUCAUGACGCUUUGAAAGGUGGAGGGGGCGUUGGUCAAGCCAAAUGGCAUUACCAGAAAUUCAUAAUGGCCCUCAUGUGUCUUGAAGGCAGUCUUCUCCACAUCACUCAGUUUCAUCCUUAUCUGGAAAUAGCCUGAUUUAAGAUCCAACUUUGAAAACACUGUGGCUCCUUUCAGUUCAUCCAAUAGCUCUUCUAUAACAGGAAUCGGAUACUUAUCGGGUAUUGUAGCUUCAUUCAAUGCUCGAUAAUCAACGCAGAAGCGCCAUCCUCCAUCUUUCUUUUUCACUAGGAGAACUGGACUUGAAUAUGGACUCACGCUAGGUCUUAUAAUCUGAGCAUUCAACAUUUCACGCACAAGCUUCUCUAUCUCAUUCUUUUGAGCAAAAGAAUACCUGUAUGGUCGGAUAUUGACUGGUGAAGACCCUUCUUGUAAGGUAAUGGCGUGUUCUCUGUUGCGAACUGGUGGCAAUAGCUGUGGAGUUUGAAAAACCCCUUGGUACUGAUCCAAAAGCCUCUGGAUUGCAGGCUGCAAGGCUGUUUGCUCUUCCUGUUUCUUGCUUUCAAACAAAGAUGCUAGUUCCAAGAGAUAUGCAGUUCCAGUGUAUUUGAUAACUCUUUCCAUAGACCUCAUCGAAAUUUGUCCUCUACAUAGAUCCGGGUCGCCGUAUAAGGAUACCCAUGUGCGACCUAUCUGCCAACUGAUCCUCAAAUCUCUCCAGUUGGCUCUUGUUUCUCCUAGUCCUGCCAACCAAGAAAAUCCCAGAACCAAAUCCAAAUCUCCCAAGUCAAAUAAGUAGUAGUCUUGUACAAACUCAAUUCCUUGGACCUCUAGUGGUAUAUCGACACACUUCCCACUACUUUUGAUGAUUCUGCCUCCACCAACUUUAACUCCAAAACUGCGAGUUUGAGUCACUAACCAUCCUUUCUCUCUUACCAAAGCCUCACUAAUGAAGUUGCAAGUUGCUCCUGAAUCAACCAAUAACACCACUUUGGUGUUGCCAAUGUAUCCCCUCAUUUUCAUUGACUGCUCUUGAGACUCAUCAUUCAAGGAGCUGAGUGUCAUUACCUUGAAACCUUCUGCAGGUUCUGGAUCCCCUUCUUCUUCUGUCAGUGGUUCAUUCAACUCUUCAAUUAGAGGACUCUCCUCUUCAACCUCUUCUGUUAUGGCUAGACCCUUGAGCUUUUGUGGUUUGCAUUUAUGGCCUUGAAACCAUCUAUCUCCACAGUAGCGGCACGGGUUUGAGUUCCUGGCUUCCCCACUGCCUGAAGCACGAGUUGUAUCCCUACUAGGAAUGAAGGGUUGUCUCGUUGGAGCACGGUCUACCACUCUAGAUCCUGUGGAGACCUGAUUGUUGAAUGGAGCUGUGUUGGUUCUAGCUUGAUUUCGCACUUGGUAACUAACAGCAUUCCGCUCUUGUGACUCAAUGAGUUUAGCUAUCUCAACAAUAUCUGCAAGAUUCACUGGCCUACAGCGAACUACCUGGUCUCGAAGACUUCUUCUCAGUCCAUUGAGGAAUGCAGAUUCCAAUAUGUCAGAUGUGACAUGGGGUAAGUCGACUGUGAGCUCUUCAAAACGUUCUCUGUAUUCCUCCACGGUUCCUGUUUGUCUCACGUUGAGGAGAUGAUCCACAGCAGAACUGCCUCUGCUUGGUCGAAAACGUAACAUGAACUUUUCUUGAAAUUCCCUCCAGGUAUAGAUUUGUUCUCUGUCCUUAGAGCAGCGCCACCAUGUAACUGAUGCUCCUGUUAAACAAGACACAGCCUUUUCCAGUUUUUCUUCCUCUAGGGUGCGAUUGGAUAAGAAGCACUGUUCUAGCCGGAACAACCAAUCGUCGGCAUUGCCUCCUUCAUAAGCCGGAUAAUCCACAGUCCUACGCGGGGCUGCUUCAAACCGAGGUUGAUGUGGCGCAGAUUGAGGCGGAAACGUUUGUGUUUGGAAGGUUGGAGUAGUCUGAAACCCCGUGGAAGGAUUAGAUGGAAAACCUGAAGAUGAUGGAAGACCCGUGGAGGCAUUCAGCUGAAACCCUGGUGGUUCUAAUGGUGACGAGUGAAAGCGACGCGGUUCGAAGGGUGAAGCUGGAAGUCGAGGUAUCUCUGAAGUCGACGCCUGGUAUCGCGACUGGUCAAAGAGUAAGGGCCGAGGGUGUGUGUCCCGUUGAUUUGUGCCGGAAAACAGAGUCUCUCUGUUCUGUACCUCCAAGUGUUGAGGAUGAGAGGUGUAGACUGGUAACGCCGGAGCUGGAGAAGAAAAACGGACUCCUCUAUUCGGUCCUUCCAGAUGUUGUGGGUANNNNNNNNNNNNNNNNNNNNNNNNNNNNNNNNNNNNNNNNNNNNNNNNNNNNNNNNNNNNNNNNNNNNNNNNNNNNNNNNNNNNNNNNNNNNNNNNNNNNAGCUCUCUUUGGGCUUUCCGAAAAGGUAUCACAUGCCAAGUUUGGCUUCACGGUCUAAACCUUAUAGACUCAUACAUUUUUCACAAAAAAAAGAAGAGAAAAACAAAAAAAAAGAGUGAUUAAACACGAGGACUUUCCUGGAGGUCACCCAUCCUAGUACUACUCUCGCCCAAGCACUCUUAACUGCGAAGUUCUGAUGGGAUCUGGUGCAUUAGUGCUGGUAUGAACGCAUCUGUUACUACAUGCAAUGCAAUCGUAUGUAUUCUUUUUUGAAGAUUUUAUGAUUCAUUUACCGUGGGUCCCACCAGCUAUGUAGGAAUAACCUAUCUUAUUUAUAAAAGCUUUGAUACAUGCAAAAUAUUCGAAAACAAUGUCCGAACAUAUAAUGUUCGCCCCAAAAUAUAGCAAAGACCACAAAAAUGCCAUAAAAAGUACAUUAAGGUCAAAAUUUGGAGUAGGAAAAAAAUCAAUAGGAGAAUUCCAUUUUCCUUCCCUCAUUCAUCGGAGAGCUCUCUUUGGGCAUUCCAAAAAGGUAUCACAUGCCAAGUUUGGCCUCACGGUCUAAAAGUUAUAGAGUAUUACAUUUUUAACAAAAAAAAAAAGAGAAAAACCGAAAAAAAGAGGGAUGCAACACGAAGACUUUUCUGGAGGUCACCCAUCCUAGUACUACUCUCCCCCAAGCACGCUUAACUGUGGUGUUCUGAUAGGAUCAAGUGCAUUAGUGCUGGUAUGAUCGCAUCAGUUACUACAUGCAAUGCAAUCAUAUAUAUUCUUUUUUGAAGACUUUAUGAUCCAUUUGCCGUAGGUCCCACCAGCUAUGUAGGAAUACCCUAUCUUGUUUAUAAGAGCUUUGAUACAUGCAAAAUAUUCGAAAACAAUGUCCGAACAUAUAAUUUUUGUCCCGUAAUAUAGCAAAGAUCACGAAAAGGUCAGAAAAAAUAUAUUUCGGUCAAAAUUUGGAGUAGAAAAAAAGCCCUUCCUCAUUCAUUGGACAGCUCUCUUUGGGCUUUCCGAAAAGGUAUCACAUGCCAAGUUUGGCCUCACGGUCUAAACCUUAUAGACUCAUACAUUUUUCAUAAAAAAAAGAAGAGAAAAACAAAAAAAAAAAGAGUGAUUAAACACGAGGACUUUCCUGGAGGUCACCCAUCCUAGUACUACUCUCGCCCAAGCACGCUUAACUACGAAGUUCCGAUGGGAUCUGAUGCAUUAGUGCUGGUAUGAUCGCAUCUGUUACUACAUGCAAUGCAAUCGUAUCUAUUCUUUUUUGAAGAUUUUAUGAUUCAUUUACUGUGGGUCCCACCAGCUAUGUAGGAAUAACCUAUCUUAUUUAUAAAAGCUUUGAUACAUGCAAAAUAUUGGAAAACAAUGUCCGAACAUAUAAUGUUCGCCCCAAAAUAUAGCAAAGACCACAAAAAUGCCAUAAAAAGUACAUUAAGGUCAAAAUUUGGAGUAGGAAAAAAAUCAAUAGGAGAAUUCCAUUUUCCUUCCCUCAUUCAUCGGAGAGCUCUCUUUGGGCAUUCCAAAAAGGUAUCACAUGCCAAGUUUGGCCUCACGGUCUAAAAGUUAUAGAGUAAUACAUUUUUAACAAAAAAAAAAAAGAAAAAAACCGAAAACAAAGAGGGAUGCAACACGAAGACUUUCCUGGAGGUCACCCAUCCUAGUACUACUCUCACCCAAGCACACUUAACUGUGGUGUUCUGAUAGGAUCAAGUGCAUUAGUGCUGGUAUGAUCGCAUCAGUUACUACAUGCAAUGCAAUCGUAUCUAUUAUUUUUUGAAGACUUUAUGAUCCAUUUGCCGUGGGUCCCACCAGCUAUGUAGGAAUACCCUAUCUUGUUUAUAAGAGCUUUGAUACAUCCAAAAUAUUCGAAAACAAUGUUGGAACGUAUAAGUUUUGCCCAGUAAUAUAGCAAAGAUCACGAAAAGGCCACAAAAAGUACAUUAAGGUAAAAAUUUAGAGUAGGAAACAAAAACAAUAGGAGAAUUCCAUUUUCCUUCCUCAAUCAUCGGAGAGUUCUUUUUGGGCUUUCCAAAAAGGUAUCACAUGCCAAGUUUGGCCUCACGGUCUAAAAGUUAUAGAGUAAUACAUUUUUAACAAAAAAAAAAAGAAAAAAACCGAAAACAAAGAGGGAUGCAACACGAAGACUUUCCUGGAGGUCACCUAUCCUAGUACUACUCUCGCCCAAGCACACUUAACUGUGGUGUUCUGAUAGGAUCAAGUGCAUUAGUGCUGGUAUGAUCGCAUCAGUUACUACAUGCAAUGCAAUCGUAUCUAUUAUUUUUUGAAGACUUUAUGAUCCAUUUGCCGUGGGUCCCACCAGCUAUGUAGGAAUACCCAAUCUUGUUUAUAAGAGCUUUGAUACAUCCAAAAUAUUCGAAAACAAUGUUGGAACGUAUAAGUUUUGCCCAGUAAUAUAGCAAAGAUCACGAAAAGGCCACAAAAAGUACAUUAAGGUAAAAAUUUAGAGUAGGAAACAAAAACAAUAGGAGAAUUCCAUUUUCCUUCCUCAAUCAUCGGAGAGUUCUUUUUGGGCUUUCCAAAAAGGUAUCACAUGCCAAGUUUGGCCUCACGGUCUAAAAGUUAUAGAGUCAUACAUUUUUAACAAAAAAGAGGGAUUUAACACGAGGACUUUCCGAGAGGUAACCCAUCCUAGUAGUACACUCGCCCAAGCACCCUUAACUACGGAGUUCUAAUGGGAUACGGUGCAUUAGUGCUCGUAUGAUCGCAUGUGUUACUACAUGCAAUGUAAUCGUAUCUAUUCUUUUUUAAAGACUUUAUGAUCCAUUUGCCGUGGGUCCCACCAGCUAUGUAGGAAUAUCCUAUAUUCUUUAUAAGAGCUUUGAUACAUGCAAAAUAUUCGAAAACAAUGUCCGAACAUAUAAUUUCCCCCCCGUAAUAUAGCAAAGAUCACGAAAAGGCCCAAAAAAGUACAUUAAGUUUAAAAUUUGGAGUAGAAAAAAAACCAAUAGAAAAAUUCCAUUUUCCUUCCUCAGUCAUCGAAGAGCUCUCUUUGGGCUUUCUGAAAAGGUAUCACAUGCCAAGUUUGGCCUCACGGUCUAAAAGUUAUAGAGUCAUACAUUUUUAACAAAACAAAAAGAGAAAAACCGAAAAAAACAGGGAUGCAACACGAGGACUUUCCUGGAGGUCUCCCAUCCUAGUACUACUCUCGCCCAAGCACCCUUAACUGCGUAGUUCUGAUGGGAUCCGAUGCAUUAGUGCUGGUAUGAUCGCAUCUGUUACUACAUGCAAUGUAAUCGUAUCUAUUCUUUUUUAAAGACUUUAUGAUCCAUUUGCCGUGGGUCCCACCAGCUAUGUAGGAAUACCCUAUCUUCUUAAUAAGAGCCUUGAUAAAUGCAAAAUAUUGGAAAACAAUGUCCGAACAUAUAAUGCCCCCCCCCCCGUAAUAUAGCAAAGAUCACGAAAAUGCCCAAAAAAGUACAUUUAGGUCAAAAUUUGAGUAGAAAAAAAAACAAUAGAAGAAUUCCAUUUUCCUUCCUCAUUUAUCGGAGAGCUCUCUUUGGGCUUUCCGAAAAGGUAUCACAUGACAAGUUUGGCCUCACGGUCUAAAAGAUAUAGAGUCAUACAUUAUUAACAAAACAAAAUAGAGAAAAACCGAAAAAAAAGAGGGAUGCAACGCGAGGACUUUCCGGGAGGUAAUCUAUCCUAGUACUACUCUCGCCCAAGCACCCUUACCUGCGGAGUUCUGAUGGGAUCCGGUGCAGUAGUGCUGGUAUGAUCGCAUGUGUUACUACAUGCAAUGCAAUCAUAUAUAUUCUUUUUUGAAGACUUUAUGAUCCAUUUGCCGUAGGUCCCACCAGCUAUGUAGGAAUACCCUAUCUUGUUUAUAAGAGCUUUGAUACAUGCAAAAUAUUCGAAAACAAUGUCCGAACAUAUAAUUUUUGUCCCGUAAUAUAGCAAAGAUCACGAAAAGGCCAGAAAAAAUACAUUUCGGUCAAAAUUUGGAGUAGAAAAAAACCCCUUCCUCAUUCAUUGGACAGCUCUCUUUGGGCUUUCCGAAAAGGUAUCACAUGCCAAGUUUGGUCUCACGGUUUAAAAGUUAUAGAGUCAUACAUUUUUCACAAAAAAAAGAAGAGAAAAAACAAAAAAAAGAGUGAUGAAACACGAGGACUUUCCUAGAGGUCACCCAUCCUAGUACUACUCUCGCCCAAGCACGCGUAACUGCGAAGUUCUGAUGGGAUCUGGUGCAUUAGUGCUGGUAUGAUCGCAUCUGUUACUACAUGCAAUGCAAUCGUAUCUAUUCUUUUUUGAAGAUUUUAUGAUCCAUUUGCAGUGGGUCCCACCAGCUAUGUAGGAAUACCCUAUCUUGUUUAUAAGAGCUUUGAUACAUGCAAAAUCUUCGAAAACAAUGUCCGAACAUAUAAUUUUCGCCCCGUAAUAUAGCAAAGAUCACGAAAAUGCCAAAAUAGUACAUUAAGGUCAAAAUUUGGAGUAGGAAAAAAAACCCUUCAUCAUUCAUUGGAGAGCUCUCUCUGGGCUUUCCGAAAAGGUAUCACAUGCCAAGUUUGGCCUCACGGUCUAAAAGUUAUAAAGUCAUACAUUUUUAACAAAAAAAAAAGAGAAAAACCGAAAAAAAGAGUUAUGUAACACGAGGACUUUCCUGGAGGUCACCCGUCCUAGUACUACUCUCGCCCAAACACGCUUAACUGUGGUGUUCUGAUAGGAUCAAGUGCAUUAGUGCUGGUAUGAUCGCAUCAGUUACUACAUGCAAUGCAAUCAUAUAUAUUCUUUUUUGAAAACUUUAUGAUCCAUUUGCCGUAGGUCCCACCAGCUAUGUCGGAAUACCCUAUCUUGUUUAUAAGAGCUUUGAUACAUGCAAAAUAUUCGAAAACAAUGUCCGAACAUAUAAUUUUUGUCCCGUAAUAUAGCAAAGAUCACGAAAAGGCCAAAAAAAAUACAUUUCGGUCAAAAUUUGGAGUAGAAAAAAACCCCUUCCUCAUUCAUUCGACAACUCUCUUUGGGCUUUCCGAAAAGGUAUCACAUGCCAAGUUUGGUCUCACGGUCUAAAAGUUAUAGAGUCAUACAUUUUUCACAAAAAAAAGAAGAGAAAAAACCAAAAAANAGAGUGAUGAAACACGAGGACUUUCCUGGAGGUCACUCAUGCUAGUACUACUCUCGCCCAAGCACGCUUAACUGCGAAGUUCUGAUGGGAUCNNNNNNNNNNNNNNNNNNNNNNNNNNNNNNNNNNNNNNNNNNNNNNNNNNNNNNNNNNNNNNNNNNNNNNNNNNNNNNNNNNNNNNNNNNNNNNNNNNNNUUAUGAUCCAUUUGCCGUGGGUCCCACCAGCUAUGUAGGAAUACCCUAUCUUCUUUAUAAGAGCUUUGAUACAUGGAAAAUAUUGGAAAACAAUGUCCGAACAUAUAAUUUCCCCCCCGUAAUAUAGCAAAGAUCACGAAAAGGCCCGAAAAAGUACAUUUAGUUUAAAAUUUGGAGUAGAAAAAAAAACAAUAGAAAAAAUCCAAUUUCCUCCCUCGUUCAUCGGAGAGCUCUCUUUGGGCUUUCCAAAAAGGUAUCACAAGACAAGUUUGGCCUCACCGUCUAAAAGUUAUAGAGUCAUACAUUUUUAACAAAACAAAAUAGAGAAAAACGGAAAAAAGAGGGAUGCAACAUGAGGACUUUCCGGGAGGUCACCCAUCCUAGUACUACUCUCGUCCAAGGACCCUUAACUGCGAAGUUCUGAUGGGAUCCGUUGCAUUAGUGCUGGUAUGAUCGCAUGUGUUACUACAUGCAAUGUAAUCGUAUCUAUUCUUUUUUAAAGACUUUAUGAUCCAUUUGCCGUGGGUCCCACCAGCUAUGUAGGAAAACCCAAUCUUCUUUAUAAGAGCUUUGAUACAUGCAAAAUAUUGGAAAACAAUGUCCGAACAUAUAAUUUUCCCCCAUAAUAUAGCAAAGAUCACGAAAAGGCCCGAAAAAGUACAUUUAGUUCAAAAUUUGGAGUAGAAAAAAAGGCAGUAAAAGAAUUCCAUUUUCCUUCCUCAGUGAUCGGAGAGCUCUCUUUGGACUUUCCGAAAAGGUAUCACAUGCCAAGUUUGGCCUCACGGUCUAAAAGUUAUAGAGUCAUACAUUUUUAACAAAACAAAAUAGAGAAAAACGGAAAAAAGAGGGAUGCAACACGAGGACUUUCCGGGAGGUCACCCAUCCUAGUACUACUUUCGCCCAAGCACCCUUAACUGCGGAGUUCUGAUGGGAUCCGGUGCAUUAGUGCUGGUAUGAUCGCAUGUGUUACUACAUGCAAUGUAAUCAUAUUUCUUGUUAUUUAAAGAUUUUAUGAUCCAUUUGCCGUGGGUCCCACCAGCUAUGUAGGAAUACCUUAUCUUCUUUAUAGGAGCUUUGAUACAUGCAAAAUAUUGGAAAACAAUAUCCGAACAUAUAUCUUUCCCCCCGUAAUAUAGCAAAGAUCGCGAAAAGGCCCGAAAAAGUACAUUUAGGUCAAAAUUUGGAGUAGAAAAAAAAAGCAAUAGAAGAAUUCCAUUUUCCUUCCUCAGUCAUCGGAGAGCUCUCUUUGGGCUUUCCGAAAAGGUAUCACAUGCCAAGUUUGGCCUCAUGGUCUAAAAGUUAUAGAGCCAUACAUUUUUAACAAAACAAAAUAGAGAAAAACCAAAAAAAGAGAGGGAUGCAACACGAGGACUUUCCGGGAGGUCACCCAUCCUAGUACUACUCUCGCCCAAGCACCCUUAACUGCGGAGUUCUGAUGGGAUCCAGUGCAUUAGUGCUGGUAUGAUCGCAUGUGUUACUACAUGCAAUGUAAUCGUAUCUAUUCUUUUUUAAAGAUUAUAUGAUCCAUUUGCCGUGGGUCCCACCAGCUAUGUAGGAAUACCCUAUCUUCUUUAUAAGAGCUUUGAUACAUGCAAAAUAUUGGAAAACAAUGUCCGAACAUAUAAUUUUCCCCCCGUAAUAUAGCAAAGAUCACGAAAAGGCCCAAAAAAGUACAUUUAGGUCAAAAUUUGGAGUUGAAAAAAAACAAAAAGAAGAAUUCCAUUUUCCUUCCUCAUUCAUUGGAGAGCUCUCUUUGGGCUUUCCGAAAAGGUAUCACAUGCCAUGUUUAGCCUCACGGUCUAAAAGUUAUAGAGUCAUACAUUUUUAACAAAACAAAAUAGAGAAAAACCAAAAAAACGAGGGAUGCAACACGAGGACUUUCUGGGAAGUCACCUAUCCUAGUACUACUCUCGCCCAAGCACCCUUAACUGCGGAGUUCUGAUGGGAUCCGGUGCAUUAGUGCUGGUAUGAUUGCAUGUGUUACUACAUGCAAUGUAAUCGUAUCUAAUGCUUUUAAAGACUUUAUGAUCCAUUUGCCGUGGGUCCCCACAAGCUAAGUAGGAAUACCCUAUCUUCUUUAUAAGAGUUUUCAUACAUGCAAAAUAUGGAAAACAAUGUCCGAACAUAUAUUUUCCCCCCGUAAUAUAGCAAAGAUCACGAAAAGGCCCACAAAAAGUACAUUUAGUUCAAAAUUUGGAGUAGAAAAAAAAACAAUAGAAAAGUUCCAAUUUCNNNNNNNNNNNNNNNNNNNNNNNNNNNNNNNNNNNNNNNNNNNNNNNNNNGGGUCCCACCAGCUACGUAGGAAUACCCUAUCUUGUUUAUAAGAGCUUUGAUACAUGCAAAAUAUUCGAAAACAAUGUCCGAACAUAUAAUUUUCGUCCCGUAAUAUAGCAAAGAUCACAAAAAGGCCAGAAAGAGUACAUUUACGUCAAAAUUUGGAUAGAAAAAAAACGAAUAGAAGAAUUCCAUUUUGACUUCCUCAUUCAUCGGAAAGCUCUCUUUGGGCUUUCCGAAAAGGUAUCACAUGCCAAGUUUGGAAUCACGGUUUAAAAGUUAUAGAGUCAUACAUUUUUAACAAAAAAUAAAGAGAAAACCCGAAAAAUGAGGGAUGCAACACGAGGACUUUUCGGGAGGUCACCCAUCGUAGUACUACUCUCGCCCAAGCACGCUUAACUGUAGAGUUCUGAUGGGAUCCGGUUCAUUAUUGCUGGUAUGAUCGCAUCCGUUACUACAUGCAAUGCAAUCGUAUCUAUUCUUUUUUGAAGACUUUAUGAUCCAUUUGCCGUGGGUCCCACCAGCUAUGUUGGAAUACCCUAUCUUGUUUAUAAGAGCUUUGUUACAUGCAAAAUAUUCGAAAACAAUGUCCGAACAUAUAAUAUUUGCCCCGUAAUAUAGCAAAGAUCACGAAAAGGCCAGAAAACCUAUAUUAAGUUCAAAAUUUGGAGUAGAAAAAAACCAAUAGAAGAAUUCCAUUUUCCUUCCUCACUCAUCGGAGAGCUCUCUUUGGGGCUUUCCGAAAAGGUAUCACAUGCAAAGUUUGGCCUCACAGGCUAAAAGUUAUAGAGUCGUACAUUUUUAACAAAAAAAAAAAGAGAAAAGCCGAAAAAAAGAAGGAUGCAACACAAGGACUUUCCGGGAGGUCAGCCAUCCUAAUAUUACUCUCGCCCAAGCACGCUUAACUGUAGAGUUCUGAUGGGAUCCGGUGCAUUAGUGCUGGUAUGAUCGCAUCUGUUACUACAUGCAAUGCAAUCGUAUCUAUUCUUUUUUUAAGACUUUAUGAUCCAUUUACCGUGGGUCCCACCAGCUACGUAGGAAUAACCUAUCUUAUUUAUAAGAGCUUUGAUACAUGCAAAAUAUUCGAAAACAAUGUCCGAACAUAUAAUUUUCGUCCCGUAAUAUAGCAAAGAUCACAAAAAGGCCAGAAAGAGUACAUUAAGGUCAAAAUUUUGGAGUAGAAAAAAAAACCCUUCCUCAUUCAUUAAAGAGCUCUCUUUGGCAUUUCCGAAAAGGUGUCACAUGCCAAGUUCGGCCUCACGGUCUAAAAGUUAUAGAGUCAUACAUUGUUAACAAAAAAAAAGAGAAAAACCGAUUAAAAGAGUUAUGCAACACAAGGACUUUCCUGGAGGUCACCCGUCCUAGUACUACUCUCGCCCAAGCACGCUUAAAUGCGGAGUUCUGAUGGGAUCCGGUCCAUGAGUGGUGGUAUGAUCACAUCCGUUACUACAUGCAAUGCAAUCGUAUCUAUUAUUUUUUGAAGACUUUAUGAUCCAUUUGCCGUGGGUCCCACCAGCUAUGUAGGAAUACCCUAUCUUGUUUAUAAGAGCUUUGAUACAUCCAAAAUAUUCGAAAACAAUGUUGGAACGUAUAAGUUUCGCUCAGUAAUAUAGCAAAGAUCACGAAAAGGCCACAAAAAGUACAUUAAGGUAAAAAUUUAGAGUAGGAAAAAAAAACAAUAGGAGAAUUCCAUGUUCCUUCCUCAAUCAUCGGAGAGCUCUCUUUGGGCUUUCCAAAAAGGUAUCACAUGCCAAGUUUGGCCUCACGGUCUAAAAGUUAUAGAGUCAUACAUUUUUAACAAAAAAAAAUAGAGAAAAACCAAAAAAAAGAGGGAUGCAACACGAAGACUUUCCUGGAGGUCACCCAUCCUAGUACUACUCUCGCCCAAGCACGCUUAACUGCGGUGUUCUGAUAGGAUCAAGUGCAUUAGUGCUGGUAGGAUCGCAUUCGUUACUACAUGCAAUGCAAUUAUAUAUAUUCUUUUUUGAAGACUUUAUGAUCCAUUUGCGGUAGGUCCCACCAGCUAUGUAGGAAUACCCUAUCUUGCUUAUAAGAGUUUUGAUACAUGCAAAAAUAUUCGAAAACAAUGUCCGAACAUAUAAUUUUUGUCCCGUAAUAUAACAAAGAUCACGAAAAGGCCAAAAAUAGUACAUUUCGGUCAAAACAUGGAGCAGAAAAAAAACCCCUUCCUCAUUCAUCGGAGAGCUCUCAUUGGGCUUUCCGAAAAGAUAUCACAUGCAAAGUUUGGCCUCACGGUUUAAAAGUUAUAGAGUCAAAUAUUUUUAACAAAAAAAAGAGAGAAAAACCGAAAACAAAGAGGGAUGCAACACGAGGACUUUCCGGAAGGUCACCCAUCCUAGUACUACUCUAGCCCAAGCACGCUUAACCGCGGAGUUCUGAUAGGAUCCGGUGCAUUAGUGCUGGUAUGAUCGCAUCAGUUACUACAUGCAAUGCAAUCAUAUAUAUUUUUUUUGAAGACUUUAUGAUCCAUUUGCCGUGGGUCCCACCAGCUAUGUAGGAAUACCUAUCUUGUUUAUAAGAGCUUUGAUACAUGCAAAAUAUUUGAAAACAAUGUCCGAACGUAUAAUCUUCGUCCCGUAAUAUAGCAAAGAUCACGAAAAGGCCAGAAAAAGUACAUUAAGGUCAAAAUUUUGACUAGAAAAAAAAAACAAUAGAAAAAUUCCAUUGUCCUUCCUCAUUCAUCGGAGAGUUCUCUUUGGGCUUUCCGAAAAGGUAUCACAUGCCAAGUUUGGCCUCACGGUCUAAAACUUAUAGAAUCAUACAUUCUUAACAAAAAAAAAAAAAAAACCGAAAAAAAGAAGAAUGCAACACAAGGACUUUCCAGGAGGUCAACCAUCCUAGUAGUACUCUCGCCCAAUCACGCUUAACUGCAGAGUUCUGAUGGGAUCCGGUGCAUUAGUGCUGGUAUGAUCGCAUCUGUUACUACAUGCAAUGCAAUCGUAUCUAUUCUUUUUUGAAGACUUUAUGAUCCAUUUGCCGUGGGUCCCACCAGCUAUGUAGGAAUACCUUAUCUUGUUUAUAAGAGCUUUGAUACAUGCAAAAUAUUCGAAUACAAUGUCUGAACGUAUAACUUUCGCCCCGUAAUAUAGCGAAGAUCACGAAAAGGCCCGAAAAAGUACAUUAAGGUCAAAAUUUCGAGUAGAAAUAAAAACCAAUAGAAGAAUUCCAAUUUCCUUCCUCAUUCAUUGGAGAGCUCUCUUUGGGCUUUCCGAAAAGGUAUCACAUGCGAAGUUUCGCCUCACAAUCUAAAAGUUAUAUAGUCAUACAUUUUUAACAAAACAAAUAGAGAAAAACCGAAAAAAAGAAUGAUACAACACAACGACUUUCCCGGAGGUCACCCAUCCUAAUACUAUUCUCGCCCAAGCAAGCUUAACUGCAGAGUAUUGAUGGGAUCUGAUGCAUAAGUGCUGAUAUGAUCGCAUCCGUUACUACAUGCAAUGCAAUCGUAUCUAUUCGUUUUUGAAGACUUUAUGAUCCAUUUGCCGUGGGUCCCACCAGCUAUGUAGGAAUACCCUAUCUUGUUUAUAAGAGCUUUGAUACAUGCAAAAAAUUGGAAAACAAUGUCUGAACAUAUAAUUUUUGUCCCGUAAUAUAGCAAAGAUCACGAAAAGGAUAGAAAAAGUACAUUAAGGUCAAAAUUUUGAGUAGAAAAAAAAUCAAUAGAAGGAUUCCAAUUUCCUUGCUCAUUCAUAUAGCUCUCUUUGGGCUUUCCGAAAAGGUAUCACAUGCAAAGUUUGGCCUCGCGGUCUAAAAGUUAUAGAGGUAUACUUUUUUACCAAAAAAAAAGAAGAAAAAAACCAAAAAAAAGAGGGAUUCAACACGAGGACUUUCUGGGAGGUCACUCAUCCUAUUACUACUCUCGCCCAAGCACGCUUAACUGCGGAGUUCUGAUAGGAUCCAGUGCAUUAGUGCGGGUAUGAUCACAUCCGUUACUACAUGCAAUGCAAUCGUAUAUAUUUUUUUUGAAGACUUUAUGAUCCAUUUGCCGUGGGUCUCACCAGCUAUAUAGGAAUACCCUAUCUUGUUUAUAAGAGCUUUGAUACAUGCAAAAUAUUUGAAAACAAUGUCCGAACGUAUAAUCUUCGUCCCGUAAUAUAGCAAAGAUCACUAAAAGGCUAGAAAAAGUACAUUAAGAUCAAAAUUUUGAGUAGAAAAAUAAACAAUAGAAAAAUUCCAUUGUCCUUCCUCAUUCAUCGGAGAGUUCUCUUUGGGCUUUCCGAAAAGGUAUCACAUGCCAAGUUUGGCCUCACGGUCUAAAACUUAUAGAAUCAUACAUUCUUAACAAAAAAAAAAGAGAAAAACCGAAAAAAAGAAGAAUUUAACACAAGGACUUUCCAGGAGGUCAACCAUCCUAGUAGUACUCUCGCCCAAUCACGCUUAACUGCAGAGUUCUGAUGGGAUCCGGUGCAUUAGUGCUGGUAUGAUCGCAUCUGUUACUACAUGCAAUGCAAUCGUAUCUGUUACUACAUGCAAUGCAAUCGUAUCUGUUACUACAUGCAAUGCAAUCGUAUCUAUUCUUUUUUGAAGACUUUAUGAUCCAUUUGCCGUGGGUCCCACCAGCUAUGUAGGAAUACCCUAUCUUGUUUAUAAGAGCUUUGAUACAUGCAAAAUAUUCGAAUACAAUGUCUAAACGUAUAAGUUUCGCCCCGUAAUAUAGCGAAGAUCACGAAAAGGCCCGAAAAAGUACAUUAAGGUCAAAAUUUGGAGUAGAAAUAAAAACCAAUAGAAGAAUUCCAAUUUCCUUCCUCAUUCAUUGGAGAGCUCUCUUUGGGCUUUCCGAAAAGGUAUCACAUGCGAAGUUUGGCCUCACAAUCUAAAAGUUAUAUAGUCAUACAUUUUUAACAAAACAAAUAGAGAAAAACCGAAAAAAAGAAUGAUACAACACAAGGACUUUCCGGGAGGUCACCCAUCCUAAUACUAUUCUCGCCCAAGCAAGCUUAACUGCAGAGUAUUGAUGGGAUCUGAUGCAUAAGGGCUGAUAUGAUCGCAUCCGUUACUACAAGCAAUGCAAUCGUAUCUAUUCGUUUUUGAAGACUUUAUGAUCCAUUUGCCGUGGGUCCCACCAGCUAUGUAGGAAUACCCUAUCUUGUUUAUAAGAGCUUUGAUACAUGCAAAAAAUUGGAAAACAAUGUCUGAACAUAUAAUUUUUGUCCCGUAAUAUAGCAAAGAUCACGAAAAGGAUAGAAAAAGUACAUUAAGGUCAAAAUUUUGAGUAGAAAAAAAAUCAAUAGAAGGAUUCCAAUUUCCUUCCUCAUUCAUAUAGCUCUCUUUGGGCUUUCCGAAAAGGUAUCACAUGCAAAGUUUGGCCCCGCGGUCUAAAAGUUAUAGAGGUAUACAUUUUUACCAAAAAAAAGAGGGAUUCAACACGAGGACUUUUUUNNNNNNNNNNNNNNNNNNNNNNNNNNNNNNNNNNNNNNNNNNNNNNNNNNUGCUGGUAUGAUCGCAUCAGUUACUACAUGCAAUGCAAUCAUAUAUAUUCUUUUUUGAAGACUUUAUGAUCCAUUUGCCGUAGGUCCCACCAGCUAUGUAGGAAUACCCUAUCUUGUUUAUAAGAGCUUUGAUACAUGCAAAAUAUUCGAAAACAAUGUCCGAACAUAUAAUUUUUGUCCCGUAAUAUAGCAAAGAUCACGAAAAGGCCAGAAAAAAUACAUUUCGGUCAAAAUUUGGAGUAGAAAAAAAGCCCUUCCUCAUUCAUUGGACAGCUCUCUUUGGGCUUUCCGAAAAGGUAUCACAUGCCAAGUUUGGCCUCACGGUCUAAACCUUAUAGACUCAUACAUUUUUCACAAAAAAAAGAAGAGAAAAACCAAAAAAAAGAGUGAUUAAACACGAGGAUUUUCCUGGAGGUCACCCAUCCUAGUACUACUCUCGCCCAAGCACGCUUAACUGCGAAGGUCUGAUGGGAUAUGGUGCAUUAGUGCUGGUAUGAUCGCAUCUGUUACUACAUGCAAUGCAAUCGUAUCUAUUCUUUUUUGAAGAUUUGAUGAUUCAUUUACCGUGGGUCCCACCAGCUAUGUAGGAAUAACCUAUCUUAUUUAUAAAAGCUUUGAUACAUGCAAAAUAUUCGAAAACAAUGUCCGAACAUAUAAUGUUCGCCCCAAAAUAUAGCAAAGACCACAAAAAUGCCAUAAAAAGUACAUUAAGGUCAAAAUUUGGAGUAGGAAAAAAAUCAAUAGGAGAAUUCCAUUUUCCUUCCCUCAUUCAUCAGAGAGCUCUCUUUGGGCAUUCCAAAAAGGUAUCACAUGCCAAGUUUGGCCUCACGGUCUAAAAGUUAUAGAGUAUUACAUUUUUAACAAAAAAAAAAGGGAAAAACCGAAAAAGAGGGAUGCAACACGAAGACUUUUCUGGAGGUCACCCAUUCUAGUACUACUCUCCCCCAAGCACGCUUAACUGUGGUGUUCUAAUAGGAUCAAGUGCAUUAGUGCUGGUAUGAUCGCAUCAGUUACUACAUGCAAUGCAAUCAUAUAUAUUCUUUUUUGAAGACUUUAUGAUCCAUUUGCCGUAGGUCCCACCAGCUAUGUAGGAAUACCCUAUCUUGUUUAUAAGAGCUUUGAUACAUGCAAAAUAUUCGAAAACAAUGUCCGAACAUAUAAUUUUUGUCCCGUAAUAUAGCAAAGAUCACGAAAAGGCCAGAAAAAAUACAUUUCGGUCAAAAUUUGGAGUAGAAAAAAAGCCCUUCCUCAUUCAUUGGACAGCUCUCUUUGGGCUUUCCGAAAAGGUAUCAUAUGCCAAGUUUGGCCUCACGGUCUAAACCUUAUAGACUCAUACAUUUUUCACAAAAAAAAGAAGAGAAAAACCAAAAAAAAGAGUGAUUAAACACGAGGACUUUCCUGGAGGUCAUCCAUCCUAGUACUACUCUCGCCCAAGCACGCUUAAUUGCGAAGUUCUGAUGGGAUCUGGUGCAUUAGUGCUGGUAUGAUCGCAUAUGUUACUACAUGCAAUGCAAUCGUAUCUAUUCUUUUUUGAAGAUUUUAUGAUUCAUUUACCGUGGGUACCACCAGCUAUGUAGGAAUAACCUAUCUUAUUUAUAAGAGCUUUGAUACAUGCAAAAUAUUCGAAAACAAUGUCCGAACAUAUAAUUUUUGUCCCGUAAUAUAGCAAAGAUCACGAAAAGGCCAGAAAAAAUACAUUUCGGUCAAAAUUUGGAGUAGAAAAAAACCCUUCCUCAUUCAUUGGACAGCUCUGUUUGAGCUUUCCGAAAAGGUAUCACAUGCCAAGUUUGGCCUCACGGUCUAAAAGUUAUAGAGUCAUACAUUUUUCACAAAAAAAAGAAGAGAAAAACCAAAAAAAAGAGUGAUGAAACACGAGGACUUUCCUGGAGGUCACCCAUCCUAGUACUACUCUCGCCCAAGCACGCGUAACUGCGAAGUUCUGAUGGGAUCUGGUGCAUUAGUGCUGGUAUGAUCGCAUCUGUUACUACAUGCAAUGCAAUCGUAUCUAUUCUUUUUUGAAGAUUUUAUGAUUCAUUUACCGUGGGUCCCACCAGCUAUGUAGGAAUAACCUAUCUUAUUUAUAAGAGCUUUGAUACAUGCAAAAUAUUGGAAAACAAUGUCCGAACAUAUAAUGUUCGCCCCAAAAUAUAGCAAAGACAACAAAAAUCCCAUAAAAAGUACAUUAAGGUCAAAAUUUGGAGUAGGAAAAAAAUCAAUAAGAGAAUUCCAUUUUCCUUCCCUCAUUCAUCGGAGAGGUCUCUUUGGGCAUUCCAAAAAGGUAUCACAUGCCAAGUUUGGCCUCACGGUCUAAAAGUUAUAGAGUAAUACAUUUUUAACAAAAAAAAAAGAGAAAAACCGAAAAAAAGAGGGAUGCAACACGAAGACUUUUCUGGAGGUCACCCAUCCUAGUACUACUCUCCCAAAGCACGCUUAACUGUGGUGUUCUGAUAGGAUCAAGUGCAUUAGUGCGGGUAUGAUCGCAUCAGUUACUACAUGCAAUGCAAUCAUAUAUAUUCUUUUUUGAAGACUUUAUGAUCCAUUUGCCGUAGGUCCCACCAGCUAUGUAGGAAUACCCUAUCUUGUUUAUAAGAGCUUUGAUACAUGCAAAAUAUUCGAAAACAAUGUCCGAACAUAUAAUUUUUGUCCCGUAAUAUAGCAAAGAUCACGAAAAGGCCAGGAAAAAUACAUUUCGGUCAAAAUUUGGAGUAGAAAAAAAACCCUUCCUCAUUCAUUGGACAGCUCUCUUUGGGCUUUCCGAAAAGGUAUCACAUGCCAAGUUUGGCCUCACGGUCUAAAAGUUAUAGAUUCAUACAUUUUUCACAAAAAAAAGAAGAGAAAAACCAAAAAAAAGAGGGAUGAAACACGAGGACUUUCCCAGAGGUCACCCAUCCUAGUACUACUCUCGCCCAAGCACGCUUAACUGCGAAGUUCUGAUGGGAUCUGGUGCAUUAGUGCUGGUAUGAUCGCAUCUGUUACUACAUGCAAUGCAAUCGUAUCUAUUCUUUUUUGAAGAUUUUAUGAUUCAUUUACCGUGGGUCCCACCAGCUAUGUAGGAAAACCUAUCUUAUUUAUAAGAUCUUUGAUACAUGCAAAAUAUUGGAAAACAAUGUCCGAACAUAUAAUGUUCGCCCCAAAAUAUAGCGAAGACCACAAAAAUGCCAUAAAAAGUACAUUAAGGUCAAAAUUUGGAGUAGGAAAAAAAUCAAUAGGAGAAUUCCAUUUUCCUUCCCUCAUUCAUCGGAGAGCUCUCUUUGGGCAUUCCAAAAAGGUAUCACAUGCCAAGUUUGGCCUCACGGUCUAAAAGUUAUAGAAUAUUACAUUUUUAACAAAAAAAAAGAGAAAAACCAAAAAAAAGAGGGAUGCAACACGAGGACUUUUCUGGAGGUCACCCAUCCUACUACUACUCUCGCCCAAGCACACUUAACUGCGGUGUUCUGAUAGGAUCAAGUGCAUUAGUGCUGGUAUGAUCGCAUCAGUUACUACAUGCAAUGCAAUCAUAUAUAUUCUUUUUUGAAGACUUUAUGAUCCAUUUGCCGUAGGUCCCACCAGCUAUGUAGGAAUACCCUAUCUUGUUUAUAAGAGCUUUGAUACAUGCAAAAUAUUCGAAAACAAUGUCCGAACAUAUAAUUUUUGUCCCGUAAUAUAGCAAAGAUCACGAAAAGGCCAGAAAAAAUACAUUUUGGUCAAAAUUUGGAGUAGAAAAAAAGCCCUUCCUCAUUCAUUGGACAGCUCUCUUUGGGCUUUCCGAAAAGGUAUCACAUGCCAAGUUUGGCCUCACGGUCUAAACCUUAUAGACUCAUACAUUUUUCACAAAAAAAAGAAGAGAAAAACCAAAAAAAAGAGUGAUUAAACACGAGGAUUUUCCUGGAGGUCACCCAUCCUAGUACUACUCUCGCCCAAGCACGCUUAACUGCGAAGGUCUGAUGGGAUAUGGUGCAUUAGUGCUGGUAUGAUCGCAUCUGUUACUACAUGCAAUGCAAUCGUAUCUAUUCUUUUUUGAAGAUUUGAUGAUUCAUUUACCGUGGGUCCCACCAGCUAUGUAGGAAUAACCUAUCUUAUUUAUAAAAGCUUUGAUACAUGCAAAAUAUUCGAAAACAAUGUCCGAACAUAUAAUGUUCGCCCCAAAAUAUAGCAAAGAUCACAAAAAUGCCAUAAAAAGUACAUUAAGGUCAAAAUUUGGAGUAGGAAAAAAAUCAAUAGGAGAAUUCCAUUUUCCUUCCCUCAUUCAUCGGAGAGCUCUCUUUGGGCAUUCCAAAAAGGUAUCACAUGCCAAGUUUGGCCUCACGGUCUAAAAGUUAUAGAGUAUUACAUUUUUAACAAAAAAAAAAGGGAAAAACCGAAAAAGAGGGAUGCAACACGAAGACUUUUCUGGAGGUCACCCAUCCUAGUACUACUCUCCCCCAAGCACGCUUAACUGUGGUGUUCUAAUAGGAUCAUGUGCAUUAGUGCUGGUAUGAUCGCAUCAGUUACUACAUGCAAUGCAAUCAUAUAUAUUCUUUUUUGAAGACUUUAUGAUCCAUUUGCCGUAGGUCCCACCAGCUAUGUAGGAAUACCCUAUCUUGUUUAUAAGAGCUUUGAUACAUGCAAAAUAUUCGAAAACAAUGUCCGAACAUAUAAUUUUUGUCCCGUAAUAUAGCAAAGAUCACGAAAAGGCCAGAAAAAAUACAUUUCGGUCAAAAUUUGGAGUAGAAAAAAAGCCCUUCCUCAUUCAUUGGACAGCUCUCUUUGGGCUUUCCGAAAAGGUAUCAUAUGCCAAGUUUGGCCUCACGGUCUAAACCUUAUAGACUCAUACAUUUUUCACAAAAAAAAGAAGAGAAAAACCAAAAAAAAGAGUGAUUAAACACGAGGACUUUCUUGGAGGUCAUCCAUCCUAGUACUACUCUCGCCCAAGCACGCUUAACUGCGAAGUUCUGAUGGGAUCUGGUGCAUUAGUGCUGGUAUGAUCGCAUCUGUUACUACAUGCAAUGCAAUCGUAUCUAUUCUUUUUUGAAGAUUUUAUGAUUCAUUUACCGUGGGUACCACCAGCUAUGUAGGAAUAACCUAUCUUAUUUAUAAGAGCUUUGAUACAUGCAAAAUAUUCGAAAACAAUGUCCGAACAUAUAAUUUUUGUCCCGUAAUAUAGCAAAGAUCACGAAAAGGCCAGAAAAAAUACAUUUUGGUCAAAAUUUGGAGUAGAAAAAAACCCUUCCUCAUUCAUUGGACAGCUCUGUUUGAGCUUUCCGAAAAGGUAUCACAUGCCAAGUUUGGCCUCACGGUCUAAAAGUUAUAGAGUCAUACAUUUUUCACAAAAAAAAAGAAGAGAAAAACCAAAAAAAAGAGUGAUGAAACACGAGGACUUUCCUGGAGGUCACCCAUCCUAGUACUACUCUCGCCCAAGCACGCGUAACUACGAAGUUCUGAUGGGAUCUGGUGCAUUAGUGCUGGUAUGAUCGCAUCUGUUACUACAUGCAAUGCAAUCGUAUCUAUUCUUUUUUGAAGAUUUUAUGAUUCAUUUACCGUGGGUCCCACCAGCUAUGUAGGAAUAACCUAUCUUAUUUAUAAGAGCUUUGAUACAUGCAAAAUAUUGGAAAACAAUGUCCGAACAUAUAAUGUUCGCCCCAAAAUAUAGCAAAGACAACAAAAAUGCCAUAAAAAGUACAUUAAGGUCAAAAUUUGGAGUAGGAAAAAAAUCAAUAAGAGAAUUCCAUUUUCCUUCCCUCAUUCAUCGGAGAGCUCUCUUUGGGCAUUCCAAAAAGGUAUCACAUGCCAAGUUUGGCCUCACGGUCUAAAAGUUAUAGAGUAGUACAUUUUUAACAAAAAAAAAAGAGAGAAACCGAAAAAAAGAGGGAUGCAACACGAAGACUUUUCUGGAGGUCACCCAUCCUAGUACUACUCUCCCAAAGCACGCUUAACUGUGGUGUUCUGAUAGGAUCAAGUGCAUUAGUGCGGGUAUGAUCGCAUCAGUUACUACAUGCAAUGCAAUCAUAUAUAUUCUUUUUUGAAGACUUUAUGAUCCAUUUGCCGUAGGUCCCACCAGCUAUGUAGGAAUACCCUAUCUUGUUUAUAAGAGCUUUGAUACAUGCAAAAUAUUCGAAAACAAUGUCCGAACAUAUAAUUUUUGUCCCGUAAUAUAGCAAAGAUCACGAAAAGGCCAGGAAAAAUACAUUUCGGUCAAAAUUUGGAGUAGAAAAAAAACCCUUCCUCAUUCAUUGGACAGCUCUCUUUGGGCUUUCCGAAAAGGUAUCACAUGCCAAGUUUGGCCUCACGGUCUAAAAGUUAUAGAUUCAUACAUUUUUCACAAAAAAAAGAAGAGAAAAACCAAAAAAAAGAGGGAUGAAACACGAGGACUUUCCCAGAGGUCACCCAUCCUAGUACUACUCUCGCCCAAGCACGCUUAACUGCGAAGUUCUGAUGGGAUCUGGUGCAUUAGUGCUGGUAUGAUCGCAUCUGUUACUACAUGCAAUGCAAUCGUAUCUAUUCUUUUUUGAAGAUUUUAUGAUUCAUUUACCGUGGGUCCCACCAGCUAUGUAGGAAAACCUAUCUUAUUUAUAAGAUCUUUGAUACAUGCAAAAUAUUGGAAAACAAUGUCCGAACAUAUAAUGUUCGCCCCAAAAUAUAGCGAAGACCACAAAAAUGCCAUAAAAAGUACAUUAAGGUCAAAAUUUGGAGUAGGAAAAAAAUCAAUAGGAGAAUUCCAUUUUCCUUCCCUCAUUCAUCGGAGAGCUCUCUUUGGGCAUUCCAAAAAGGUAUCACAUGCCAAGUUUGGCCUCACGGUCUAAAAGUUAUAGAAUAUUACAUUUUUAACAAAAAAAAAGAGAAAAACCGAAAAAAAGAGGGAUGCAACACGAAGACUUUUCUGGAGGUCACCCAUCCUACUACUACUCUCGCCCAAGCACACUUAACUGCGGUGUUCUGAUAGGAUCAAGUGCAUUAGUGCUGGUAUGAUCGCAUCAGUUACUACAUGCAAUACAAUCAUAUAUAUUCUUUUUUGAAGACUUUAUGAUCCAUUUGCCGUAGGUCCCACCAGCUAUGUAGGAAUACCUUAUCUUGUUUAUAAGAGCUUUGAUACAUGCAAAAUAUUCGAAAACAAUGUCCGAACAUAUAAUUUUUGUCCCGUAAUAUAGCAAAGAUCACGAAAAGGCCAGAAAAAAUACAUUUCGGUCAAAAUUUGGAGUAGAAAAAAAACCCUUCCUCAUUCAUUGGACAGCUCUCUUUGGGCUUUCCGAAAAGGUAUCACAUGCCAAGUUUGGCUUCACGGUCUAAACCUUAUAGACUCAUACAUUUUUCACAAAAAAAAGAAGAGAAAAACAAAAAAAAAGAGUGAUUAAACACGAGGACUUUCCUGGAGGUCACCCAUCCUAGUACUACUCUCGCCCAAGCACUCUUAACUGCGAAGUUCUGAUGGGAUCUGGUGCAUUAGUGCUGGUAUGAACGCAUCUGUUACUACAUGCAAUGCAAUCGUAUGUAUUCUUUUUUGAAGAUUUUAUGAUUCAUUUACCGUGGGUCCCACCAGCUAUGUAGGAAUAACCUAUCUUAUUUAUAAAAGCUUUGAUACAUGCAAAAUAUUCGAAAACAAUGUCCGAACAUAUAAUGUUCGCCCCAAAAUAUAGCAAAGACCACAAAAAUGCCAUAAAAAGUACAUUAAGGUCAAAAUUUGGAGUAGGAAAAAAAUCAAUAGGAGAAUUCCAUUUUCCUUCCCUCAUUCAUCGGAGAGCUCUCUUUGGGCAUUCCAAAAAGGUAUCACAUGCCAAGUUUGGCCUCACGGUCUAAAAGUUAUAGAGUAUUACAUUUUUAACAAAAAAAAAAAGAGAAAAACCGAAAAAAAGAGGGAUGCAACACGAAGACUUUUCUGGAGGUCACCCAUCCUAGUACUACUCUCCCCCAAGCACGCUUAACUGUGGUGUUCUGAUAGGAUCAAGUGCAUUAGUGCUGGUAUGAUCGCAUCAGUUACUACAUGCAAUGCAAUCAUAUAUAUUCUUUUUUGAAGACUUUAUGAUCCAUUUGCCGUAGGUCCCACCAGCUAUGUAGGAAUACCCUAUCUUGUUUAUAAGAGCUUUGAUACAUGCAAAAUAUUCGAAAACAAUGUCCGAACAUAUAAUUUUUGUCCCGUAAUAUAGCAAAGAUCACGAAAAGGUCAGAAAAAAUAUAUUUCGGUCAAAAUUUGGAGUAGAAAAAAAGCCCUUCCUCAUUCAUUGGACAGCUCUCUUUGGGCUUUCCGAAAAGGUAUCACAUGCCAAGUUUGGCCUCACGGUCUAAACCUUAUAGACUCAUACAUUUUUCAUAAAAAAAAGAAGAGAAAAACAAAAAAAAAAAGAGUGAUUAAACACGAGGACUUUCCUGGAGGUCACCCAUCCUAGUACUACUCUCGCCCAAGCACGCUUAACUACGAAGUUCCGAUGGGAUCUGAUGCAUUAGUGCUGGUAUGAUCGCAUCUGUUACUACAUGCAAUGCAAUCGUAUCUAUUCUUUUUUGAAGAUUUUAUGAUUCAUUUACUGUGGGUCCCACCAGCUAUGUAGGAAUAACCUAUCUUAUUUAUAAAAGCUUUGAUACAUGCAAAAUAUUGGAAAACAAUGUCCGAACAUAUAAUGUUCGCCCCAAAAUAUAGCAAAGACCACAAAAAUGCCAUAAAAAGUACAUUAAGGUCAAAAUUUGGAGUAGGAAAAAAAUCAAUAGGAGAAUUCCAUUUUCCUUCCCUCAUUCAUCGGAGAGCUCUCUUUGGGCAUUCCAAAAAGGUAUCACAUGCCAAGUUUGGCCUCACGGUCUAAAAGUUAUAGAGUAAUACAUUUUUAACAAAAAAAAAAAAGAAAAAAACCGAAAACAAAGAGGGAUGCAACACGAAGACUUUCCUGGAGGUCACCCAUCCUAGUACUACUCUCACCCAAGCACACNUUAACUGUGGUGUUCUGAUAGGAUCAAGUGCAUUAGUGCUGGUAUGAUCGCAUCAGUUACUACAUGCAAUGCAAUCNNNNNNNNNNNNNNNNNNNNNNNNNNNNNNNNNNNNNNNNNNNNNNNNNNCUCCUCAGUCAUCUUUGAGCUCUCUUUGGGCUUUCCGAAAAGGUAUCACAUGCCCAGUUUGGCCUCACGGUCUAAAAGUUAUAAAGUCAUACAUUUUUAACAAAAAAAAAAGAGAAAAACCGAAAAAAAGAGGGAUGCAAUACGAGGACUUUCCACGAGGUCACCCAUCCUAGUACAACUCUCGCCAAAGCAUGCUUAACUGCGGAGUUUAGAUGGGAUCUGGUGCAUUAGUGCUGGUAUGAUCGCAUCUGUUACUACAUGCAAUGCAAUCGUAUCUAUUCUUAUUUAAAGACUUUAUCAUCCAUUUGCCAUGGGUCCCACCUGUAGGAAUACCCAAUCUUGUUUAUAAGAGCUUUGAUACAUGCAAAAUAUUCGAAAACAACGUCCGAACAUAUAAUUUUCGCCCCGUAAUAUAGCAAAGAUCACGAAAAGGCCCGAAAAAGUACAUUAAGGUCAAAAUUUGGAAUAGAAAAAAAAACCAAAAGAAGUAUUCCAUUGUCCUUUGUCAUUCAUCGAAGAGCUCUCUUUGGGCUUUCCGAAAAGGUAUCGCAAGCCAAGUUUGGCCUCACGGUUUAAAAGUUAUAAAGUCAUACAUUUUUAACAAAAAAAAAAAGAGAAAAAACCGAAAAAAAGAGGGAUGCAACACGAGGACUUUUCUGGAGGUCACCCAUCCUAGUACUACUCUCGCCCGAUCACCCUUAACUGCGUAGUUUUGAUGGGAUUCGAUGCAUUAGUGCUGGUAUGAUCGCAUCUGUUACUACAUGCAAUGUAAUCGUAUCUAUUCUUUUUUAAAGACUUUAUGAUCCAUUUGCCGUGGGUCCCACCAGCUAUGUAGGAAUACCCUAUCUUCUUUAUAAGAGCUUUGAUAUAUGCAAAAUAGUGGAAAACCAUGUCCGAACAUAUAAUUUUUCCCCUGUAAUAUAGCAAAGAUCAAGAAAAAGCCAAAAAAAGUAUAUUUAGGUCAAAAUUUGGAGUAGAAAAAAAAACAAUAGAAGAAUUCCAUUUUCCUUCCUCAGUCAUCGGAGAGCUCUCUUUCGGCUUUCCGAAAAGGUAUCAAAUGCCAAGUUUGGCCUCACGGUCUAAAAGUUAUAGAGUCAUACAUUUUUAACAAUACAAAGUAGAGAAAACCGGAAAAAAGAGGGAUGCAACAUGAGGACUUUCCGGGAGGUAAUCCAUCCUAGUACAACUCUUGCCCAAGCACCCUUAACUGCGGAGUUCUGAUGGAAUCCGGUGCAUUAGUGCUGGUAUGAUCGCAUCUGUUACUACAUGCAAUGUAAUCGUAUCUAUUUUUUUUUAAAGACUUUAUGAUCCAUUUGCCGUGGGUCCCACCAGCUAUGUAGGAAUACCCUAUCUUCUUUAUAAGAGCUUUGAUACAUGCAAAAUAUAUGAAAAAACGUUCGAACAUAUAAUUUUUCCCCCCGUAAUAUAGCAAAGAUCACGAAAAGGCCCGAAAAAGUACAUUUAGUUCAAAAUUUGGAGUAGAAAAACCCAAUAGAAGAAUUCCAUUUUCCUUCGUCAUUCAUCGGAGAGCUCUCUUUGGGCUUUCCGAAAAGGUAUCACAUGCCAAGUUUGGCCUCACGGUCUAAAAGUUAUAGAGUCAUACAUUUUUAACAAAACAAAAUUGAGAAAAACCGAAAAAAGAGGGAUGCAACACGAGGACUCUCCAGAAGGUAACCCAUCUUAGUACUACUUUCGCCCAAGCACCCUUAACUGCGGAGUUCUGAUAGGACCCGGUGCAUUAGUGCUGGUAUGAUCGCAUGUGUUACUACAUGCAAUGUAAUCGUAUAUAUUCAUUUUUAAAGACUUUAUGAUCCAUUUGCCGUGGGUCCUACCAGCUAUGUAGAAAUACCCUAUCUUCUUUAUAAGAGCUUUCAUUCACGCAAAAUAAUGGAAAACAAUGUCCGAAGAUAUAAUUCCCCCCCCCCCCCCCCCGUAAUAUAGCAAAGAUCACGAAAAGGCCCGAAAAAGUACAUUAAGUUCAAAAUUUGGAGUAGAAAAAAAAACAAUAGAAGAAUUCCAUUUUCCUUCCUCAGUCAUCGGAGAGCUCUCUUUGGGCUUUCCGAAAAGGUAUCACAUGCCAAGUUUGGCCUCACGGUCUAAAGGUUAUAGAGUCAUACAUUUUUAACAAAAAAAAAUAGAAAAACAGAAAAAAGAGGGAUGCAAUACGAGGACUUUCCAGGAGGUCACCCAUCCUAGUACAACUCUCGCCGAAGCACGCUUAACUACGGUGUUCAGAUGGAAUCUGGUGCAUUAGUGCUGGUAUGAUGUCAUUUGUUACUACAUGCAAUGCAAUCAUAUCUAUUCUUAUUUAAAGACUUUAUGAUCCAUUUGCCGUGGGUCCCACCUGUAGGAAUACCCUAUCUUGUUUAUAAAAGAUUUGAUACAUGCAAAAUACUCGAAAACAAUGUCCGAACAUAUAAUUUUCACCCCGUAAUAUAGCAAAGAUCACGAAAAGGCCCGAAAAAGUACAUUAAAGUCAAAAUUUGGAGUAGAAAAAAACCCAAUAGAAGUAUUCCAUUCUCCUUCGUCAUUCAUCGGAGAGCUCUCUUUAGGCUUUCCGAAAAGAUAUCACAUGCCAAGUUUGGCCUCACGGUUUAAAAGUUAUAGAGUCAUAGAUUUUUAACAAAACAAAAAGAGAAAAACCGAAAAAAAAUUGGGAUGCAACACGAGGACUUUCCUGGAGGUCACCCAUCCUAGUACUACUCUUGCCCAAGCACCCUUAACUGCGUAGUUCUGAUGGGAUCCGAUGCUUUAGGGCUGGUAUGAUCGCAUCUGUUACUACAUGCAAUGUAAUCGUAUCUAUUCUUUUUUAAAGACUUUAUGAUCCAUUUGCCGUGGGUCCCACCAGCUAUGUAGGAAUACCCUAUCUUCUUUAUAAGAGCUUUGAUAAAUGCAAAAUAUUGGAAAGCAAUGUCCGAACAUAUAAUUUCGCCCCCGUAAUAUAGCAAAGAUCACGAAAAAGCCCAAAAAAGUUCAUUUAGGUCAAAAUUUGAGCAGAAGAAAAAGAAAUAGAAGAAUUCCAUUUUCCUUCCUCAUUUAUUGGAGAGCUCUCUUUGGGCUUUCCGAAAAGGUAUCACAUGCCAAGUUUGGCCUCACGGUCUAAAAGUUAUAGAGUCAUACAGUUUUAACAAAAUGAAAUAGAGAAAAACCGAAAAAAAGAGGGAUGUAACACGAGGACUUUCCGGGAGGUAAUCUAUCCUACUACUACUCUCGGCCAAGCACCCUUAACUGCGGAGUUCUAAUGGGAUCCGGUGCAUUAGUGCUAGUAUGAUCGCAU